GGUGAUGUUCUUAUUGUUUCAAAUAAGAACUAUGUACCCAUGGAUUUCAUUGUACUUGACAUAGAUUGCAAUCCUUCAUGUUUCAUUAUUCUUGGUAGACCUUUCCUAAGGACUAUUNNNNNNNNNNNNNNNNNNNNNNNNNNNNNNNNNNNNNNNNNNNNNNNNNNNNNNNNNNNNNNNNNNNNNNNNNNNNNNNNNNNNNNNNNNNNNNNNNNNNAGGAGGCGGCGAGGAUCGGCGAGGAGGCGGCGCGAGGAGGCCGCACGCGAGGAGGCGGCGCGCGAGGAGGCGGCGAGGAGGCGGCGAGGAUCGGGGAGGAGGCGGCGAGGAGGCGACGGCGGCGAGGAGGCGGCGAGGAGGUCGAGUCGGCGAGGAGAGAGGCGGCGAGGAGAGAAGGCGAGGAGAGACGCGCGAGAAGGCGAGAAGUUGGCGGCCCCGGAGAGGUCUAGAGCCUUUAGCACCGGUUUGUGUUAACAACCGGUGCUAAAGGGUCUUUAGGACCGGUUGUUAACACAAACCGGUGCUAAAGGGUCCAAAAAUUAGGCGUCAAGCGAACCCACCUUUAGGACCGGUUGUUGUUACAAACCGGUCCUAAAGGUUUUUUUCCUUUUUCUUUUUUCCUUUUUUCUGUUUUCUUUUUUUUUUUGUUUCCUUUUUCUUUUUCCUGUUUCUUCUUUUAUUUUUCUUUUUUCCUUUUUUCUGUUUCCUGUUUUCUUUUUCUUUUUGUUUCCUUUUUCUUUUUCCUGUUUCUUCUUUUAUUUUUCUUUUUUCCUUUUUUCUGUUUCCUUUUUUCUUUUUCUUUUUGUUUCCUUUUUCUUUUUCCUGUUUCUUCUUUUAUUUUUCUUUUUUGUUUCCCUUUUCUGUUUUCUUUUACAUUUAUUUACAAAUUGUCUAAAUGUCAUUUUAACACUUUAAAAAUAAAAAUGAUAUUUAUUAAAAUGGUCAAAUUUAGUGAAAACUGGUCAAAUUUUUGAUAUUUAUCAAAAUGGUCAACACAAUUACAUAAAAGGUUUAAUACAUUAUUACACAUCACCAACAACACCCCCUAUCUAUUUUUCUUCUUGCCUUUCUUCUGAUUGCGCCGUAACCAUGGAGUAUCUUCAUCAUUUAACGGGAUGCUUGGAUCAUCUUUGACUUUGAAGGGAGGAAUUUCAUCAAAUUUAUUGUAAUCUUCUGACAUGUCUGUCUUGUCCUCGACUCCCACGAUGUUUCUUUUCCCUGAAAGAACUAUGUGGCGCCUUGGCUCAUCGUCUGAUGUAUUCGCUUCCUUAUCUUUUCUUUUUCUCGUUCUGCUAAACAUGUCCUUCACAUAGAAAACCUGAGCCACAUCAUUGGCUAGGACGAAUUGAUCAUUGCCGUACCCAAGAUUCUUCUGAUCCACUGUUGUCAUUCCGUACUUCGGGUCUACCUUCACGCCUGACAGGUUGAACCAUUUGCACCAGAACAAAGGGACCUUAAAGGAAGGUCCGUAGUCAAGUUGCCAUAUCUGCCCUAUGUAACCAUAGUGUGUGACCCUUUGCCCGUUGUCGUCUUUUGCAUCAAACCGGACGCCACUGUUUUGGUUGGUGCUCUUUUUAUCUUGGUCUGCCGUGUAAAAUGUGUUACCAUUUAUCUCGUACCCUUUAAAGGUCAAUACAGUUGAAGAUGGUUGCUUGGCCAACAAGUAUAGCUCAUCUUCAACAAUGUUGUCAUUAAUGAGACGUCUUUGCAACCAACCGCCGAAAGUCUUCGCGUGUUCUUUAGCAAUGAAAUCUUCAGGUUGCUUCGGGUAUUCCGAGCGUAAAAUAUCCUUGUGUUCCUGGAUAUAUGGAGCCGCCAAGCUGGAAUUAACUAGAACUGUGUAGUGUGCUUGAGUGAAAGAUUGCUCGUCCAUACAUGUUGUUGAUUUCUUUCCUAGCGUGCCUUUUCCACGCAGUCUCCCCUCAUGGCGCGACUGAGGAACACCGAUCGGGUUCAGGUCAGGAAUAAAGUCAACACAAAACUCAAUGACCUCCUCUGUUCCAUAGCCCUUGACCAUGCUUCCUUCUGGCCUAGCACGGUUUUUAACAUAAUUCUUCAAGACUCCCGUGAACCUCUCAAAGGGGAACAUAUUGUGUAAGAAUACAGGACCGAGAACGGAAAUCUCUUGGACUAGGUGAACUAUGAGGUGCGUCAUAAUAUUGAAGAAGGUUGGUGGGAACACCAACUCGAAGCUGACAAGACAAUGGACCACGUCCUUCUGUAAACUUAGUAGAGCUGCUGGAUCGAUUGCCUUCUGAGAAAUUGCGUUGAGGAAUGCACAUAGCUUCACAAUGGGUACUCGCACGUUUUCUGGCAGAAGCCCCCUCAAUGCAAUCGGAAGUAACUGGGUCAUGAUCACGUGGCAGUCAUGAGACUUUAGGUUUUGGAACUUUUUCUCUUCCAGGUUUAGUAUUCCUUUUAUGUUCGACGAGUAGCCAGACGGGACCUUGAUACUGCUCAGGACUUGGAAAAAGAUCUCCUUCUCUUCCUUGGUAAGAGCGUAGCUGGCAGGACCUUUGAAAUUCUCUGGAUUCAUCAGGUCGUCUCGUUCGUGCAUACGUUGGUGGUGCAGCCGUGCUUUUGGUGUAUCUCUCGACUUCUUCCCAUGCACGCCCAAUAAGUUUAGCAGGUUCACGCAAAUAUUUUUCGUCACGUGCAUCACGUCGAUCGCAGAGCGAACCUCUAGGAAUUUCCAAUAGGGUAGUUACCAGAAUAUAGAUUUCUUCUUCCACAUGGCUACCUGGUUGUCGGCGUCAUUCGGAACAGAUUGUGCGCCAGGACCCUUACCAAAGAUUACUUUUAUAUCUUUGACCAUGUCAUAUAUGUCAGUACCUUUAGGGAGGGUUGGCUUCCUCCGUGUAUCUGCCUCGCCUUUGAAAUGCUUUCCUUUCUUUCUUACGGGAUGCCUGUCUGGAAGAAAUCGACGAUGCCCCGGGUACACAUUCUUGCCUAUAUGUAUACUUUCAGUCUCGCCUAAACAGUGUGUGCAUGCGCUGUAUCCCUUGUUUGACUGUCCUGAGAUGUUACUAAGAGCGGGCCAAUCAUUGAUGGUUACAAACAGCAACCCUCGUAGGUCAAAUUCCUCCUGUUUGUACUCGUCCCACACACGUACACCUUCGUCAGCCCACAACUCUAGAAGUUCAUCAACCAGUGGCCUCAGGUACACAUCAAUGUUGUUGCCGGGUUGCGACGGGCCUGGGAUAAGCACUGGCAUCAUAAUGAACUUACGCUUCAUGCAUAACCAAGGAGGAAGGUUAUAGAUACAUAGAGUCACGGGCCAGGUGCUAUGAAUGCUACUCUGCUUCCCAAACGGAUUCAGGCCAUCUGUACUUAGACCAAACCUUAAGUUUCUUGGGUCACGUGCAAAGUCCUCGUACUUAUCGUCUAUGUUUCUCCACUGCGACCCAUCAGCGGGUUGUCUCAGCAUAUCGUCUUCCUUACGGUCUUCUUUGUGCCAUCGCAGCAACUUGGCAUGCUCUUUGUUUCGGAACAAACGUUUCAACCAUGGUAUUAUAGGAGCAUGCCACAUCACCUUGGCAGGAACCCUCUUCCUGGGGCGAUCGUCGCCCUCAACAUCACCAGGGUCAUCUCGCCUGAUCUUAUACCGAAAUGCACCGCAUACCGGGCAGGCAUUUAAAUUCUCGUGCUAACCGCGGUAGAGGAUGCAGUCAUUGAUGCAUGCAUGUAUCUUAUGCACUUCCAAUCCUAGAGGGCAGACAACCUUCUUUGCUUCGUACGUACUGCAGGGCAGCACGUUAUCUCUUGGAAGCAUCUUCUUCAUUAUUUUCAGCAGCUUUUCAAAUCCCUUGUCAGAUAUUCCAUUCUCUGCCUUCUAUUGCAGCAAUUCCAGGGUGGUGCCCAGCUUUUUCUGGCCAUCUUCGCAAUUUGGGUACAACAAUUUUUUGUGAUCUUCUAACAUGCGCUCCAACUUCAACCUCUCGUUUUCACUUCCGCAGUUUAUCUGUUCUUCACGAAUGACCUGACGAAGAUCAUCAUCAGACUCAUCAACAAUGUCCUCAAGUUCAGGCUCGUCUUCCUCCAUUUCAGUAUCACCGUGUUCACCGAAUAUAGGAUAGUUAUCAUUAUCCUCUUCUUCAUUGUCUUCCAUUACAACCCCUCUUUCUCCGUGCUUGGUCCAACAAAAAUAACUGGGCAUGAAGCCUUCUUGCAACAGGUGGGUGUGUAUGGUUCUUGAGGUAGGGAAAUUCCUCUUAUUCUGGCAUUUUUUACAUGGACAAAAAAUAAAUCCAUUCUGCCUGUUUUUCUCAGCCACAUUGAGAAAACUAUGCAUGCCAUUAAGGAAUUCGGGACGACGUCGAUCACUGUACAUCCAUUGCCGGUUCAUCUGCAUUAUAUAAAUUUAUCAAAAACCAUUAUGCUAAAUCAUCAUGACUAAAUUAAUUAAUUAAUACAAAAAGUUCAUCACACGUUAAAACCAAAGUAGCGUAGUGACCAUACAUAUAUAGUUCUCAUAAAAACACACACUGAAACCAACCAUAAAAACUCUCUCUAAUUAAUGCAUUUAAAAACAACAACAAAUGCGAUCAAAAUCGCAACAAAGGUAACAAUUGACCCGACGGCAUAAUGAUACCAAGCCUCUUUACUAAUUGCAUAUUUUCUAAUCUUUCUAAUCUUCAGACGCAUUGCGUCCAUCUCGCUCUUGUGACCAUCGACGACACCGGCAAGAACCUUUUCCAAGGUCAUCUUCUCUCUUUCAGUUUUUUUCAACCUUUCUUCAGUUUUUUUCAAUCUUUCUUUCAGGCCAACAUUUUCUUGUUCAACUAAGUGUAACUUCUCAACAAUAGGGUCGAUUGGCAUUUCCGGUUCCACUACCUCCUAGAUAAAAAUAUCUAUGUCAAGUUGGUCGGCGUAAUUAAUUGUCAUAUAAUCAGGAAAUGAAAAUAUGUAGUUAUAAAAGAUAAUAUACCACAUCCGAAUCAUAGACUGGACGAGGGCCAACGGGGACGGAUAUCAAAACCAUGGCCCUAUACAUAUAAAAAAAUCUUACACAAUAAGAAAAUUAUAUACAAGUAAAUAUGUAAAUCAUACAAAUCAAAAUUUGUUUUGGUAAAUAAAAACAAUAGGCUCACCAAGGUUGUGUCGGUGACGGGGCGAUCGACGGCGGUGAGGAAGGGGACAAGGCGCGCGACACUAAAAAAAACCACAAAUCAUAAUUAAAUUUGAGCUCAAAUUGCAUAUGUAUACAUAACAAAUGAUGAACUCUCUCUAGCUUAGGCAUUUCAUCAAACACCUAGCUAGCACAACAAAAAUGAAAUGAGCAAGAAAACGAGCAAAACUUGCAAUGCCGGAAGAGGGAAUGUUGAUGCUAACCGUAGGACAGAUGGGUGCCAACAAUCUUGACAAAUGGUGGAGAAAAAUGGGGAUGGAUUAGAGCUCCCAAGAGGAAGGAGAGAGCAAAAAUGGAGUUGAGCUCGAGCUAGAAAAAAUGGAGCUGACCUCGGGGUGGAAUAUAGGGGUGCUCGGAGAGGAAGGAGAGGAGGGCUUUAGGACCGGUUUGUGUUAACAACCGGUGCUAAAGGGUCUGACAGCGGGGCCCCGCAGUUGCUGCAAAAAUGAGAAAACCUUUAGCACCGGUUUGUGAUACAAACCGGUUCUAAAGGGUCUGUCCACUGGGCCCCCUCCCUGCAGCAAACGGUCCAAAAACCUUUAGGACCGGUUUGUGUUACAAACCGGUCCUAAAGGCCUUGCGGCCAUUUGCUGCAGGGAGGGGCCCAGCGGACAGACCCUUUAGAACCGGUUUAUAUCCAAUCCGGGUCCAAUGUGGUUGGCUUAAUGCCUUGUUUUCUACUAGGGUUAGCAAGCCUUUUCCUAGUAGUAGGAGGUGGCGCCAUCGCCCGCAUGGUUGUGUGCAGGUGCUGCGGCAGCACGGUUUGGGCAGUGGUGGAAGAGAGAGAAAUAGGAGUCGAUGGAUAAGGAUAGGAUAACGUGGGGUGGUCUUUUUUCUUUUACCCCAUAGUUCGUUUUGUCCCUUUGCAUGGUUAGUCUGCAGCUACGGAUCAGCUUGUAGGUGAUGUCGGAAUAAAAAGUACUUAGGGGUGAUAUCAAAAUAGACCCAUCCUAUAUAUAUAUAUAUAGACAGAGAGAGAAAUUAUGCACUAAUUAUUAUUCGCAGGUGCUCAUAUUGUGGUGUUAUUACUACGUAAUGAAACAACCCUAAGUCCUUCUAGAACUUAGGACAAGGAAAGGAAAAAAAAGUAAGAGAAGGAGGAAAAAUCAAAAAGAAAAAUGUAAAAGAAAGAGAAAAAGGUAAAAGAAAAAGAAAAAAUGCAGAGAAUAGCAGUAAUGUGUUAGUUAUAGCGCGUGGUGGGAGAAAACAUGCUAUAGCUAACUUAGCUACAGUGCUUGUUUGAGAACCGUGCUAUAGCUAACUUGGCUAUAGCCAUGCAUCGGCCAUUACCUACUCCUUCCCCUCCCCACAUCUCUCACUCUCUCGACCUUCCCUCUCUCUCCCAACACCGCUACCGCCGCCAACGCUACCCCAACCUCACCUCCGAGUGUGCAUGCCACCAUCCCAGCCACCGUCGACCCCGGCCCCUACUGCUAUUUCCCUCAGCCCCGGCCGCCGACCAUUACCUUAGUCGGCCCCGACCCUGACCCCAACGACCCCGACCCGAUCUCCCUCAGCCUUAGCGGCCCCGACCCCCAUGGUGCCCCCACCCCGUCUUUCCUAUUUUUUGGCUAUUUUUCUCUCCAAAUGAAUGUAAAAAUAGAAAAUUCUUGUUUUGAUGUCCACAUAUAGGUGUUUUGAUGUUUCGCUGUCCAAAUGAGCAAGAAUAAAGAUGUUGUUUUACUGUCCAAAUGAAAAUGACAAGGAAAAUAGAAAAUGAAAAUAGAAAAUGAAAAUGAAAAUGAGGAAGAAUAAAAUGAAAAUGAAGAUAAAAAACAAUUGUUUUGCUGUUUGGCAGUCCAAAUGAGGCAAAACAAAAUGAAAUGAAAAUAAAUUGUUUUGUUGUUGAUAUGUAGAAAAAGUAAAUGAAAAAGAGGUGUGAGCUCAUGUUUUGUUGUCCAUACAUAGAAAAAGUAAAUAAAUUAUUUUGUUGUCCAUGUAUAGAAAAAGUAAAUAAAUUNNNNNNNNNNNNNNNNNNNNNNNNNNNNNNNNNNNNNNNNNNNNNNNNNNNNNNNNNNNNNNNNNNNNNNNNNNNNNNNNNNNNNNNNNNNNNNNNNNNNNNNNNNNNNNNNNNNNNNNNNNNNNNGAAAAAGUAAAUAAAUUGUUCUGUUGUCCAUAUAUAACUAAUUUUUGCGUAGGUUGUAGAUAAUGUUGGAUUGAAACAAUAUUAGGUAUUUUUUCUAUAUAUCUAUGUGUGUCUAAACUGAUCUUGUGAAUGCUUGACGCACACGUAGAACAUCACCGUGCCGCUUGAUGACCUUGAUCGAGAAGAUCAUCGACACGACACUCAAGCCACAUCCUCAACAAGCAGCUAGUGAGCAUUCCAAAACCCACACUAUUUCUCUUGAUAGAAUGUGGGCCUCAGUCCUAAGGAAUGUUGAUACAAUGUGUUGUGGGCCUCAUGCCAUUCUUGUUUUGUAGGGNNNNNNNNNNNNNNNNNNNNNNNNNNNNNNNNNNNNNNNNNNNNNNNNNNNNNNNNNNNNNNNNNNNNNNNNNNNNNNNNNNNNNNNNNNNNNNNNNNNNNNNNNNNNNNNNNNNNNNNNNNNNNNNNNNNNNAGGGAAACUGAUUUUGAUUGGCCUAUGUUUUGCGGAAAUGUUGAUUCAUUUUUGUUUCGGCAAAUUUUAGGUGCUCGAUAAGUGCCAUUUUUAGCAUACGCCAUGCCGAAAUUUUAUGUGAAUUUUGACAUUACGUGUGCUCCACAAUAGACAUAACGAGUGCCCAAGAUUUGCGGGGACGGUAAGGAAAUGAUAGCCAAGCAAGAAAUAGGCCAUUUUUGCAAGAGUCAUUAUUCCUUUUAUUAUAUAAAGAUCGAGAAUUAAAUGAAUAUAUUGAAUCCUGGGAAACAUGGCCGACAACGAUGAAGCCAAAGGUUCUAGCACCCAAGAGGGAGAAGAACAUGCUUACCUCGACUAUCUUGCCAACCAGGAGAUGGAAACAACCAUUAAUGCCGACGCCAAUGGCGCUGACGCUGAUAACACUGAUGCCACAAACACCAGCAAUGAGAAAGAGACGGCCACCGAUGGUACCUUCCAAGCGAGUGAAGGAAAGAAGAAGGCAAAGAGGACACGAUGCCCAAAUCAGCUCGGCACCAGAAGACUAGUGAUCAUGAAGGAGCAUGAAGGCUAAUUCGAGAAAACACACCCGCGAGACGUGGCAAUGAUGUACGACAACCGAUUAGUAUUCAUCCUAUGGGAUACCACUAACAUCANNNNNNNNNNNNNNNNNNNNNNNNNNNNNNNNNNNNNNNNNNNNNNNNNNNNNNNNNNNNNNNNNNNNNNNNNNNNNNNNNNNNNNNNNNNNNNNNNNNNNNNNNNNNNNNNNNNNNNNGAUACCACUAACAUCAACGACACAAAAAUACAGAAUAAUGAACCUUUGCAAUAUCUUCUCCUAACUAGGAUACCACUAACAUCAAUGACACAAAGAUUCUUGUUCCCUGUUUGGAAUGAAAAGAAUAUCAAGAAAUAACGGGAUGAUCCUGCCAUGAAUAAAAUAAACAACCAAGCCCUAAUAAAGUUCAGAAACAACUUGAGCGCCUGGAAAACAAGGGUGAAAAGGUGGUUGAAUUAGACCAUCAAACCUAUGCCCGGAUUAAAGAAGACAAUCCAAAUUUUUUGGAAGAGGACUUUGAAACGUUCAAGGCGACUUGCGCUAAAGAAGUUGAGAAGGCGAGAUGGGAUAAAAGCAAUCAGCUUCAGGUAAUGAACAUGGGGAACCACCACCUUGGAAGUCGUGGUUACAUGGGCAAGAGGCCUACGUGGGCUAAGGAGAAUGCGGAACAUGAAUGUCUCGCCCCCCAGACCCCUUGGCUGAGUUGACCGACCAAGAGGAGCAUGAGUUGAUCAAGGCCCGGUUCAAGUGGGAACCUAUAAAGAAGGAAUUUUACACAGACGUGCCUACAAGGGAAUUCAUGAGAACAUUGUAGUCACAUUCGUAAUUUAUUCACGCUCAUUUUGCACAAAGAGCAACACAAGCUUGUAGCCGAAAGCGAACUGUCGACUCAGUCAACUCAGUCAUUGACAAAGUACAAGUGGGACACCCCUUUAACCCUAGCAAUAAACAUAUUGUAUGGAAAACCAGUGGAUAGGCAGCCAUAGUAUGGAUGUGUGCACGCCGCUGGAGAUGGCGCCACGUGGAAGUACUACUAUAUGGAGGACGUAGAGGCCAAAAAGCGGAGAAAGUAGUUAAGUCAAGUGACUAUCGAUGAGAAGGUGGCACUGGCGCUUGAUAAAAACAAAGCUGAAACCAUAGAAGAGGCAAGAAGCGCAGCGUUAGAUGCAUGUAGAAAUGAUGAGGAAUUUGCAUUGACAAGCUUGACUCCUAGUAUGGUCUGUUGGGUGCAAAAAAUCCAAACCAGCCCCCAACUAAUUUUCUCCUGCCGAUCUUAACCGGGAACAACUCGUUGAACUUCGCACCCUCACCCUUACCUACUAUGGCGACCGCACCCGCACCUAUUCCAGCAGCAUCGGCUACUCUUGUUCCUACUCCCGCACAUGCACCCUCUGAUAGCAGCCCGUGCUCCGUCUCUAUAUUAAAUGUCGGGCCGUCAACAUUGGCAAAACUCAAUGCCCUCAUGGUAAACACGUGUUGCACACUCAUCAACAUAACUAACUAAUCAUUAGUUCUCAUUGCCAUUCGGAUCUCUCACGCCGCAUACAUGUCUUUCCAGGAUUACUCCAUUCCAUGCACUCCCCUCUACCACAUGAACGACGUGUUAGUGGUUGUGGGGAAGGCAACUAUAAUGAAGCCCAAGGAUCGCUUUUUCCAUGGACGUCAGAUGACUUCUAACCCCUUAAGGGUCUUUGUGGGAGUCUGGAACAGGGAUACGAGGGUUUAUGUAUUCCCAAACAAAUCGGUGCACAUGACGACGACACACGGACGUAGUUUGGCGAAUCAAAAAAUUGGUGGAUCGUAUGACCACAACCCCACCUAUGCAAUUGCGACUGUUGUAUGUGCUUCUUGGUGAGGGCGAGUGACAUGAGGAAGGGGGUCCAACCAUUUCGUUGCCGCCUGAUGAUGUUGCCCACAUGGAUGAAGAUAUUGAUCAUGACAUGGAGGACGAGGACCUUGUGAAGUGUCUUAAUACCGGUGCCUAUGAGGAUUUAGUGAUGAGUCAGCCAUAUGAGAAACAGCCAGAGCGGGCACAUCCUUGGGAGUGCAAGAAGUCUUUGUUCGUGCAAGCCUCACAGGAUCACCCCUCUAGAUGUCGCCUCACCGAAGCUCAACAAAGCCAAGGUCAUGCAAUGUUGAGCCCGACGACACUGGGGGCGAUGGUCAGACAUGGUCGGGCAGACCCACUAGCAGCUGCGCCACCAAGAAGAAGCAGAGGAAGAGACCGAUGAAGACAUUCCUGGUUGUCGCCAAAGCUAUCAAAGUGGCUUCUAGCAGCCAGCCGCCUCUCCACACCCGGGUUGCAGACAGUGUACCGAUCAAAGGUGCGUCGCCUAUCCAUAUCAUGGGACAACCAAUGUUUCCUAAGGAUGCGCUAGCCGAAAUAACAAGGGAUCUCAUGAGAUUGCAGGACCAUGUGUUGUCAACGGAGAAAAGCCUCCUCUCUUCAAAUGAUCCAGGAUACCCCCUUUAUACGGUCCAUGUCUCGUCUGAUGGCAAGGAUUAUGUCCACGAAUGCCCUGUGGACAUGUUCUUCCUGUGGUUUGACUACAUCUUUGAUAUGUUACUAAUGAGUCGUUGGAUUUGGCAUUCAUACAGCUUUUUGUGCUUCGUAUGAACUACACCGUUAGGAGAGAGAAAAUCAGUGGUAUUGUGGCCAUGGAACUGUACUACUUGUUUAUGGGCUUCCUGUCAGUCGACGAGGCGAACCAUAAAUAUGCGAUGCAGUACGUCAAAGAGUUCGUGGUCAACAAUAAGGACAAGGGAUUGAUUCUCGUACCUUAUCAUCCCAGGUAAGUCAUCCGUGGAUAGCCACUAUAACACAUACAUCCUUUUGUGCAUUUCAAUCAUUAUUUUGCACGCAUGAACACAAACUUGAUUAUGUAUUUAUUUAGGACACGGGGUGGCUUCCUUCAAUUCAAUAAGACAUUUAGGACACGGUGUGUUCCAACCAUUAGACUAACUUCUAUUGCUUCCAAUGACCUACAACAAUUAAUAAGGAUGGAUUCUACGUCAUCCAUCUAAUGCUGGAGUACAGAAGGGAUCAACAGUCACUUCGCUUGACACCUUCAUCUAAUACCAAUAUCAAGAGAUGGUUUGAAGCCUUAGAAACUGUACUGGAUCAUCGACUACGAAAUGACUGCUACAACAUCCAAGAGAAAAUUGUGUCGAUCAUCUUAAAAGACGUCAUUGAAGAGAAUGGGGUGUUCUACAACGGUCCAAUAUCACGGCAUGAUGUUCGCACUCGCAUAGCCCUACUACACAAGGAUGGCAUGACUUUCAAAAUGUUGGGUGCAUCCUCCCUGAUAUGGACAAAUGGAACAAGUGCACUGCUUAAAUUCACGAUGACCCCGUGUCUAUUUAGUUCGUACUUUCUAUACAAUGGAAACUAGGAAUUUAUCUGUACAAUAUAAUUAUUAGAUGUAAACGCUACCACACUUUCAUUAACUAUGUUUAGCUUGCUUAUAUUUGCUAAUUCUUUCUCUUUACAGGCCGGCGUUGUACAUUAUGUUGUAUAUAUAUGGUGGAAUUCACUUGAUGAUAUAUGCAUCUCUAACAGCUAUAUAAAUCAUUGAUGACGUGGUGGUAUGGUUCGUACAUAGGGAGGGUUACAGGACUGUACGAGGAGUGGCCUGGGUGUCAGGCCCAACUGCAUCGCUCUUGAUAACCCACAAGUGUAAGGGAUCACAACAGUUUUCGAGGGUAGAGUACUCAACCCAAAUUUAUUGAUUCGACACAAGGGGUGCUAAACAAUAUUCUCGGGUAUUAGCAAUUGAGUUGUCAAUUCAACCACACCUGAACGACUUAAUAUCUGCAACAAAGUAUUUGGUAGGAAAGUAGUAUGGAAGUAACAGUAAUAGUGGCAAACAUGACAGUAGCAGUUUUGUAGUGAUUCUAACAGUAGCAACGGAAAAGUAACUCAGCAAAGAUCAAUAUGUGGAAAGCUCGUAUGCAAUGGAUCAGUGAUGGAUAAUUAUGUUGGAUGGCAUUCAUCAUGCAAUAGUUAUAACAUAGGUUGAUACACAACUAGCUCCAAUUCAUCAAUAUAAUGUAGGCAUGUAUUCCAUAUAUAGUCAUACGUGCUUCUGGAAAAUAAUAUGCAUGACAUAUUUUUUCCUACCCUCCCGUGGCAGCAGGGUCCUAAAGGAAACUAAGGGAUAUUAAGGUGUCCUUUUAAUAGAGAAUUAGACCAAAGCAUUAGCACUUAGUGAAUACAUGAACUCCUCAAACUACGGUAAUCACCGGAAAGAAUCCCAGUUAUUGUCACCCUGGGGGAUGCGUAUCAUAACUUGUAAUAGGUGUCUCCAACUUGCAAGAUAGGAUCAAGAACACAUAUAUAUUCAUGAAAACAUAAUAGGUUCAGAUCUGAAAUCAUGGCACUCGGGCACUACUCACAAGCAUUAAGCAUAGCAAAGUCAUAGCAACAUUAAUUUCAGAACAUAAUGGACACUAGGGAUCAAACCCUAACAAAACUAACUCGAUUACAAGUAACUAUAAUCUCUAAUUAUCAUUGCAAACAUGUUCAAUCCAUAAAGAGCUGAAUCUGGAAUGAUGAGCUAACCAUAUUUACAAAAACAAAAUAGGACGAUUUCAUACCAUCUUUUCUGCAUCUCAGUCACUUCAUCAUAUAUCGUCAUUAUUGCCUUUCACUGGUACGAUUGAACGGUGUGAAUAAUAAUAAUAAUAAUGCCCGUGCAUUGGACUAAGCUGGAAUCUGCAAGCAUUUACUCGAAGGAGAAGACAAGGUAAUAUGAGCUCUCUAAUAGAUAAUCAAUAAUGUAUAUGAGAGCCACUUAGCAUGUCAUCGUGGUCUUCUCCUUAUGACCCAAAGAAGAAAGAAAAACUAUUUACACGGGAAAGCUCCCAACAAGCAAAAGAAGUACGAGAAAUCUUUUUGGGUUUUCUUUUAACAUUAAAACUAAACAAACUAGAGGGCAAGGCUAGAACUAAUAUUUUUGGAUUUUCUGAAGGUUAAUGAAACACACAAGAACAAAACAAAAGAUGAAAUAAACUACCAUGGAUAGUACAAUGAAAAAACUGAACACCGACAACUGGAAUGAGUGUGUGAACAUGAAUGUAAUGUUGGUGAAAAAUACGUACUCCCGCAAGCUUAGUCUUUUGGUGUAAGUUGGUCUAGGGCCAUUGCUGGCCCGGAUAAUAUCCAAAGUCAUAGUUGGGGUUGUACUGGGCUGCGGCGGCCACUGCCUCAACGGCUUCAACAUGGAGGUGAUAAUCUUUAGCCUCCCUCUCGUACUCAUUUGCCUCCUCUAUAGUUAUAAAGUAUCUCCGUUUUUCCUGAAAGUUAAAGAAGGCAGGAGCGGGAAGGGUAAUACAAACAAUAUGUUGUUUGUCAAAAAUUAGUCGGUACAGGAGGGAUUGUUCAUUUCUCUCAGGAAACUGGUAACACACCAUAGCCUCAUAAUCAAGAAAAGCAGGUGGUAACUCAAUAUCAGUCUCCCUUAUAUGUACCCCAAGAUAAUUAGCUACACGUGUCGCAUGAAUUCCACCAAAGAAUCUCCAUCCUUAGCAUUUUUAUGUAAUCUCCUAGCAAUAAUAGCUCCUAGGUUGUAUCUCUAUCACCCAUGACCGCACUCUUAAGAAUAAUAAGGUUAGGUACGCAAAGGUGGCUAUGAUCAACACUUUACCGUUGAUACAUGUACCUAUGAAGAGAGCGAGAUAAUGUACGGCAGGAAAGUGAAUGUUCCCCCAAAAUAGCCUGUAUAAUAUUUCUAGUUUCUCUGAAAGUGAUGCUAGCAAGAAAACCAUUAUAUUCGGUUUUGUGAGGAUCACUGUGGCUACCCCCAUCGUACAAUUUUGCAAGAACGGUUAAAACCCUCUAGGUCCAUGGUAUAAGAUUCAUCAUAAAAAAUAAAUAUUACAGAAUGCGUGUUAUGCCUGGAUAAAAAUUCAAACCUCCGCACGAGGGAAUCGAUGAGUUGAUUAUAAUGCUUGCAUUGGUCUGAAACAAAAUCUUCAAGGCCAGCAUUUUGUAUGUACGCGUAAAAUUACUCCAUGAAUCCAGCAUGGACCAUGAAUGGAUCCGACGGCCAUUCACAAGGCCGUAUUUGAGCUUCCUGCUGUGGAUCAAAGUCGGGCUCGCGUAUCGCGAGUCUCGGGGUCUUCUUUCUCGAGGAACCACCUUGGAAAAUUUUCCUUAACUUUUUUUUUCUAAAAAUAAAUCUGAAAUUUUUAGUGACUCCAAAUAAAUGUGAAUAAAACUCAAUCAAAACUUAUAACAACUACUCCCUCAAGUCCCUAGAAGCUAUAUCAUGCACUAAAACUACUUGGGACCCUACAAAUUUGACAUGCAAGCUCAAUAACAAGGUCACCACUGCAGCAAAAAUAUGCAACACAUAAAGUACUAGAACAAAAACUAAUUGGACCAUUGGGGGAGUCACAUACCAAUGAACAAUCCCUUAAAAUAUUUUUACAAAUGGAGUUUUGAGCCAAGAGAUCGAAAAUGGCACCAAGAUCAGCUAAAACACGUGUUUGAGCAAUGGUGGGAUUUUUCUGGAGGAAGACGAAGUGAAUGGGUACUGGAAUAAGUGGAGGGGCCCUACGUGGGGCCUACAAGCCAGGGGCAUGGCCAGGGGGUGGCCACGCCCUAUGGGCUUGUGGUCCACUGGUGCAGCCCUCUGUUGUAUUCUUAGUGCGAAAAAUUCUUAAAUAAUCUAGAAAAAAUCAUACUAAAUUUUCAUGGCAUUCUAAGAACUUUUAUUUUCAGGUAAUUUUUGUAUUGCACGGAUAAGCAGAAAAGCAGAGAAAUAAUUGUAUUUUUACUAAAUUAAAGCUAAGGAACAGAAAAUAAAAGUUGGGUAGACAAGGUUGUGCUUUCCGAAUUCAUCCAUCUCAUGCCCGUAAAAAAGAAUCCAUCAAUAAGGUUGAUCAAGUGUUAUUGACAACUUUUUUCGAAUGACAUGAAACAAGAGAAUUUUCAAAUAGCACUAGGUUACCUCGAGGAUAUGCAUGUUCCCCAAAAUAAGUAUAUCAUAUUUCUUUUUGGCAGUAGGGAGAUGGAUUUCAAAGUCUCCACACUACAAGAAAUAUGCUCAUACAUGAUGUUUUUUAAGACGUCGUUGAUGAAUUCGUCAUAAAUCUAUGACGAUUUCAUCCAAGAUUGUCGUAAACCGUUUGAGGGGAUCAAAUCUACAUAUAAAUUACGACGAUGUGAGUCAAAAACAUCGUAACCGCAUAAGUUGAGAUCGUCAUAACUUCUACAACGAUUAUAAAAAUGUCGUAACACUGAGAACCCUUCUCACGGAUCGAUGACAUGGCGUCCAUCCAUCCAUCCAUCCAUCUCUACAUCCCACAUCCAUCCAUCCAUCUAUCUACAAGGAAAAAAAUAAAAAAGAGAUAACCCCACCCACAGCCCAAAAACCUAGCUCACAUCCCCCAUCCCACUCUUCCUCCCUCGUCCCCAUCUCCUCGCAGCCGCCGUUGCCUCCUCCCCGUCCCUCCCCCCUCCCGAUCCCCACCUCCUCCUCAUACCCUACGAAGAGACCCCUGGCCGUCCCGCCGCCGCACGUGGCGAUGGGGGCGGCGUGGCGGGGCCUGCUGCUCGACCAGUGGCGCGGGAUCCAGGACGACGGGGAGGUGUACGACGACCACGGCGACCUGUCCACGGUCAAGCAUCGCCGCCGCCGCCUCAACCAGGCCAAGGAGCAGUGGUACGGCCCUGGAUUUCCCCCGCACCUAGUCUCUCCCCGCUUCACGAAUGAAUCGUUGUGGGUCUGCUUCUUCUGACUCGUCGGCCGCUUUGCCGACUGCGGCCGCGCCGGUCACAAGGACGCGGUCAGUAAGUAUAGCAUGUGUCAGUAUAUUGGUGGUUAGUAGGCUGCUUGUCCUUGUUCGCUCAUAGAGAUCUAGCGCUCUAGUUUGUGGAAUUGUAUCAAGACAAACUCGGUACUGGCCUAUUCUGUCCGAGGUGUCCGUUGUAGUUUCCUAGUAGGAGAUGCAUCGGCUUCUGAUGCUGCUACCAUGUAACCAUUGUUGUCUUAGAUGUGGUCAAUCGUUUCUGUUCCAUUUCGCUAGUUGUAGAUUGACCUUAAUCCGUGUUGUCUCUGUGGCACCAAGUAGUUGAAUAGAUUUCUCUGCAUCCCUGGUCUCUGGAAAACACAGCUUAACUGCCGACCAUUGAUGGUAACUACAUUGUUGUUGUUUACAUGAUAGGUGCUGGAGCAGCUGAGUGGACAAUCACCAGUGUUCUCCAAGGGUUAGUUUCUUAAAUCUGCCCUGUUCCCCUUUGUCCAUGUCAGUUGUGGUCAAGGUUGGUUGUCCUAACAGGAACCAUAUUGUUGUAUUGCAGCGAGGUACACUGUCAGGUCGUUUGGUAUCACGCGUAAUGAGAAGAUCGCGUGCUACGUGACUAUUAGGGGCGAGAAGGCAAUGCAGCUGCUGGAGAGUGGCCUGAAGGUGAAGGAGUACGAGCUGCUCAGGAGGAACUUUAGCGACAACGGAUGCUUUGGCUUUGGCAUCCAGGAGCACAUUGAUCUCGGCAUGCUCAUUCCACUCUAAACUGAAUAAAAAAAAUCUAACGGGACUGCACAUAUAUCUUGCACUGAAUCUGACCAUAAGCCCAGCAAGAAAUUAAAUAUAGGAUGUGCUUUUGAAUCGCUGACGACCCAAGUUUGCAAAUAGCCUAUGGUCUUGUGAUCUUUCAGCUUAUUGCAGUAAUGUUAUUCCUUCUUAUUUUCAUUUUCUAGUUACUUACAAAGUUUUAUUUUCUCCGUGCAACUAAUCAAAGAUCACAUCCUUCCAUAUUUUGAUUAGGCAGGAGGAAGUGGAAGGAGUACUUGAUGGACUCAAUCGUGCUCUGAGGUUUCUCUCUCUCUCUCUCUNNNNNNNNNNNNNNNNNNNNNNNNNNNNNNNNNNNNNNNNNNNNNNNNNNNNNNNNNNNNNNNNNNNNNNNNNNNNNNNNNNNNNNNNNNNNNNNNNNNNNNNNNNNNNNNNNNNNNNNNCUCUCUCUCUCUCUCUCGGUUCUGAUCCAUUUUUCUGAGCUCAUGCAAAUAUUUUUGUUCAGACGAGGGGGGAGGAAGCUGACGCAGUCGCGGGAGUCCUCCUCCUCGCCGCUAAUUGCUGUAUUCAGUUCAUGUGCAGUCCGGUUGCUGAUUUUUCUUGAUUUUUUUGGUCUGUCCAGAUGAGCGCGAUGAAGGACUCCAACAAGGAGAUGAGCUCAAGGGGGUGAUGUAGACCACCUUCAAGAUCGAGGGCAUCGAUGUGCGUUUUGCUCCUCCCCAUUUUUAGCUUUGCCGUCGUUGCUGCUGAAUUCAUGCUGCUGUCUAUGGCCUGUCAGAUUUUGUUUUCGUACAGUCUGAAUAUUUCAGUGUCGUGGGGGAUUCGUAGGAUGCAUCCCCUCUAAGCUAGUGUCAAAAGCUCUAAAGCGUGCUACCAUAGCAGUAACAAUUCAGCUGCAGAUUCUUAGUGAAAAUAUGUAGCAUGAAAUGAAAACUCUAAGCAGAGCACACUAAGCAACCACUGUUAAUUUCCUCAUGAACACAUUAUCUGACGACGAACCAUCAAUUUCAUUAUGUGAUGCAGGAGGAUGAGCUCGGACUACCACCGACACCUCGAGCAUCGCUCCGUAGUUAGAACCUGCAAGUAAUUUUUAUGUGUCGUUGUUCUCAACUGUUAAUGUGAUGUGAGGAGUCUUUGUGUUUGUUACUUGAGCGAUCCGUGUGAGAUGUUUAUAUCAGUGGCGCCUUUUACGGUUAAUCCGUGCGUGCAAAGUAGCUAGUAUCCUGCUCUGUUCUGCUCCAUCGCCAUCACAUGGGGAUUUUGAAUUUGCGAUUGUGUGAAUCCCGGUGCAUAGCAUUCGUUCUUUCCUGAUGGCCGUUCUGUUUUGCGGUAGCGAACUACUCUCAUCACAGAUAGCUGUCAGUGCACAUCAGGUUACGAUAGAGAUAAUACAAGUUUCAUUAUUUAAGAUCAUUUCACUGUCUAUAGUUUCGAGUCUUCUCUUUGGAGAUAUGCGUUCUCUUUUCCAGUUUCAUUAUUUUUGUAAACUGAAAUCCAUUUUAAUUAUUUACACACCCCUUUUUUCCUAGACAUUCAUCGUGACACAUGUGUGGGCAUAUUGACAUUGCAUGAUUAUUAAUUAUUUAUCCACUUAUUUGUGUUUCCAUGGUCAUCGUGCCAUGGCCAUGGUCAUCGUCAUCGUGCCAUGGCCAUGUCUGGUUAGGGAUUGGUCUCUGAUUGUAACUGCAGUACUUGAAGUAGAAGCAUUGUAGUAGCUAGCAUAUCAUGGUGACGUUGCUCUUAUAGGAGUUUCUAUUUCCAAUGUCUUUUCAUGUAGUAUGAAUUUUAUGCUUGAAAAAAUAUAAAGCAUGUAUUGGCUGUCAUAUUUCUAGAGAAGAGGUAAUAUGGAGGAUGUUAUGUGAAUUGGCUAACUUCUAAUUUUUCCAUUGAUUAUGAUCAAGUUGUUGUUGAGGUGUGUGCAUUGCUAUGCAUGGUCUCUGGCCUCGACGUCUUCUGUUUUCCCUGCGUCGUUCGACGACAGCGGUGCUAUUUGGCAUCGGCUACAAAAUCGUUUCUGUUUUGCAUGCUUCAUACAAUACAAACUGUCUUCUAUCAUAUUUGAUGCGGUAUGCCAUUAUCCGUCUGAUUGAUUUCUCGCACCUGCAAAAUGACAGUGUCAUGAUGUUGUCAAUGGUGUGGUUGAGGUAGAAGGUGUAACCAAAGACAAUUCAGGUGAAGCUGCUGCAGAUUAGAAAGGUGAGCAUAUGUUGGUGUGCUAAGAUCUUUUGAGUAAUUUUCUAUGCUGGAAGAUGAUACGUAGUAAGAACGGAAUAUAAUCUCCAACUGUCUUUGACCUUGGUUCUGGUCUUUCAGGAUUAGAGUAGAAUUUCAAGUUUUGGGGGUAAUUAAAUUUAAUACUUUAAUUAUUCAACUAAAUAAUUAAUCUAUGUGCCAUGGUCUGCCUUCCCUUACAUAAUCAUGUACAAUACAAGCAUCGUUGUCCGAAUCAAUACUACAAAGCAAUCAACAGUACAAAGCUACAGAGAUUACUUUCAAUACCAAUACUAUUCAUGCAUGCUAGAUGCAGUAAGCUAGCAAAAAAUACCCACUGCUGCUUCGGUGAAUAGAUGGUGUUCAAAUUCUUUGCUUGUGGCCGUGAUUAACAUGCAAAGACUCGGUUUAUAGCGCUCCUUGUCUAGUUACCGAUUCACAGGAUGGUUCUACUUCCUCUUGGAUUUGCAGGAUUUGUCGUUACUGCUCAUGUGUCAUUUUUCUUCUCCUUCCCUUUUCAUAGCUAAAUAUAUGCAUUCAAUAUUGUUUGCUAUAGUAGUAAUAUAUGUAAGUUGGUUGUUUACAACUCUUGGGUGUAGUUAUAACAUAUAAGAGCUGCUUGGAUGCGAGGUCAUGCUGUUAUUUAAAUACUUGCAGUGUUAGUUUACACUUUUUUUGUAAAUGUUGUUAUUUAAAUACCUGCAGUGUUAGUUCAUAUCUUAUUCUUAUUUUUUGCACAGGUGAAGUACAAAGCCAAGUGUCAAGCUAUGAAGCGUAUCAACAAAGAGUAGCAUAUGUAUUGUAAUAGUAGGCAGUAGUAGGUAUAUCUGGGUUGUGGUGUAGUGUAAAGAUUGUAAUAGGCAAAUUUAAUGUUGGUUUGGACGAAUUUUAUUUGCUCCCUAGCUUGUUUGAAAUAUUGAUUCUGAAUGUGAUUUGAAUACCCCUAUGAAAUGGAAACAUGACAAGGGGACCAAGUUAUGCUAUUUAUUUGACAAAAUGUGAAAUUUUUGACGUGUGGGACUAAUUUUGAGAUCAGCAUGACAUGUGGGACUAGUACAAAAUAAAAAUGGAUGUGGGACCAGUACAAAAUAAAAAUGNNNNNNNNNNNNNNNNNNNNNNNNNNNNNNNNNNNNNNNNNNNNNNNNNNNNNNNNNNNNNNNNNNNNNNNNNNNNNNNNNNNNNNNNNNNNNNNNNNNNNNNNNNNNNNNNNNNNNNNNNNNNNNNNNNNNGUACAAAAUAAAAAUGGCCAAAAAAGAAAAUCAAUAGAAAGUAAAAGGCCAUGAAGCAAAAUUUGAAAAAAAUACUAGAAGUUGCUGUAAAUAUGCUAAGGCCCCAAAAGAAGCCCAAUAAGAAAAAGCCAAAAAAAAAUAAACCAGCCCAUGUGAUCAAAUGAAAUGGGCUGGGCUGAUUUCAGCCAUGACAUUUUGAUUUCGUCGUAAUUUUGCCACGUAGGAAUGCCACGUAGGAUUGGAUUAGAUUGCCAACGACGAUUUAGGAUCGUCGUAAAGGUUACNNNNNNNNNNNNNNNNNNNNNNNNNNNNNNNNNNNNNNNNNNNNNNNNNNNNNNNNNNNNNNNNNNNNNNNNNNNNNNNNNNNNNNNNNNNNNNNNNNNNNNNNNNNNNNNNNNNNNNNNNNNNNNNNNNNNNNNNNNNNNNNNNNNNNNNNNNNAUCGUCGUAAAGGUUACAACGAUUUUGAUCAAAACGUCGUUGCUGUUCAUUUCUGCGCUUCGUUUUCGACGCUUGGUUUUUUGUCGUGAGAUCGUCGUAAACUAAAAACCGUGAUGAUGUAGCAAAGAAAAUAUAGCGUCGNNUCGUGUAUUAGCAUAUUCCUUGUAGUGCCAAUAAUAAUCGUUGAUACCUUUUCAAUGGAGUUGAUACUAUAAACAUGAUGUGGCUUCUUCGGAAAGUGUAAUGUAUGCUCAUUACCGUUAACAUGAAAAGUGACAUUGCCUUUNNNNNNNNNNNNNNNNNNNNNNNNNNNNNNNNNNNNNNNNNNNNNNNNNNNNNNNNNNNNNNNNNNNNNNNNNNNNNNNNNNNNNNNNNNNNNNNNNNNNNNNNNNNNNNNNNNNNNNNNNAAAGUGACAUUGCCUUUGUUGUAGUCAAUAACAGCCCCUACAGUAUUCAGAAAGGGUCUACCAAGGAUGAUCGACAAACCGUCGUCCUCGGGAAUAUCAAGAAUAACAUAGUCCAUUAGAAUACUAACGUUUGCAGCCACAACAAGCACAUCCUCACAAAUACCUAUAGGUAAAGAAGCUGAUUUAUCAGCCAUUUGCAGAGAGAUUUCAGUAUGUGUCAGCUUAUUCAAAUCAAGUAUAUGAUAUAAAGAGAAAGGCAUAACACUAACACCAGCCACGAGGUCACAUAAAGCAGAUUUAACAUAAUUUCCUUUAAUAGAGCAUGGUAUAGUAGGUACUCUGGGAUCUCCUAGUUUCUUUGGUAUUCCACCCUUAAAGGUAUAAUUAGCAAGCAUGGUGGAGAUCUCAGCUUCCGGUAUCUUUCUUUUAUUUGUAACAAUAUCUUUCAUAUACUUAGCAUAAGGAGACAUUUUCAGAAUAUCAGUUAAGCGCAUACGUAAAAAGAAAGGUCUCGGCAUUUCAGUAAUGCACUCAAAAUCCUCAUCAUCCUUUUUCUUGGAUGGUUUAGGAUGAAAGGGCAUGGGUUUCGGAACCAAUGGUUCUCUUUCUCUACCAUGCUUCCUAGCAACAAAGUCUCUUUUAUCAUAUCUCUUAUUCCUAGGAUGUGGGUUAUCAAGAUCAAUAGCAGGUUCAAUCUCCACAUCAUUGUCAUUACUAUGUUGAGCAUCGACAUGAACAUCAUCAUUUUUAUCAGUAGGUUCAUGUGCAUUACCAUAUUGUGUCUCAGCAUUAGAAAUAGAGAUAUCAUUUGGGUUUUCAUGUCACUCUACAACAGGUUCACUAGCAGCAUGCAAAGUCCUAUCGUCAUUCUUUUUUCCUUUUAUUAGAAGGGCUAGGUGCAUCAAUAUUAAUUCUGUGAGAAUCUUGCUCAAUUCUCUUAGGAUGGCCCUCGGGAUACAAAGGUUCCUGAGUCAUUCUACCACCUCUAGUCACAACUCUAACAGAAUGAUCAUUGUUCUUACUAAUCAUCUCAUUGAGCAAAUCAUUCUGUGAUUUAAGUACUUGUUCUACUUGAGUAGUUACCAUGGAAGCAUGUUUACUAAUAAAGCAAAGAUAAUUGAAAGUUCUACUCAUAUUUUCACCCAAUCAAUCAAGUGUGUAAGCAUUAUGGUUCAAUUGUCUAGUAACAUAAGCAUUGGCUAGCAGACUUAUUAUAAGGAAUAUCACCUUCACCAAAUCUACGAAAAGAGUUUACCUAUACUACCUGUGUCGGGUUAUCAAGACCAUGUAUUUCUUCAAUAGGCACUAGAUUCUUAACAUCUUCAGCUUUAAUACCUUUUUCUUUUAGAGAUUUCUUUGCCUCUUGCAUAUCUUUAGGACUGAGGAAUAGAAUACCUCUUUUCUUCGAAGUUGGUUUUGGAGGUGGUUCGAGAAUAGUCCAAUCAUUAUCAUUGCUCAAUAUAUUGUUCAAUAGUAGUUCAGCUUGUUCGAUGGUUCGUUCCCUGAAAACACAACCAACACAACUAUAUAGGUGGUCCCUAGAAGCAUCAAUUAGUCCAUUACAACAGAUAUCAAGUAUUUGAUUUUUCUUGAGAGGGUGAUGAGGCAAAGCAUUAAGUAUAUGGAGAAGCCUCCCCCAAGCUUGUGGGAGACUCUCUUCUUCAAUUUGCACAAAGUUAAAUAUUUCAUGCAAGGUAGCUUGUUUCUUAUAAGAAGGGAAAUAUUUUUCAGAGAAGUGAUAUAUCAUAUCCUGGGGACUACACACACAACCAGGAGCAAGAUAAUUAAACCAUAUCUUAGCAUCUCCCUUUAAUGAGAACGAAAACAGCUUAAGAAUAUUAUAAUAAUGAAUCUUUUCCUCAUUAGUGAAUAGGGUGGCUAUAUCUUUCAAUUUAGUAAUAUGUGCCACAAUAGUUUCAGAUUCAUAACCAUGAAAAUGAUCAGAUUUUACCAAAGGAAUCAAGUUAGGAUCGAUAGAGAAUUCAUAAUCCUUAUCAGUAACACAGAUAGGUGAAGUCGCAAACUUGGGAUCAUAUUGCAUUCUAGCAUUCAAAGAUUUUUCCUUCCACUUGCAUAACAAUUUCUUAAGGUCAUGUCUAUCCUUACAAGUAAGAAAGUCCCUAACUACUUCUCCUUCCAUAACGUAACCCUCAGGUAUAUCACACAAUUCAUAUCUAGGAGAGCUAUGUCUAGGAGGUAUACCGUAAUGUUCAGUUUCAAUAAUUUCAUCAGUUUCAACAUUCACUCUAGCAAUUUGUUCAUCAAGAAAUUAACCAAGUAGCACGGUAGUAUUAAGCAAAGUAUCAUCAUAAGCAUCAUGCAUAGCAGAAGUAGCAUCAUAAAUUACUUCUGACAUAUCAGAUUCAGUAACAGGUGGUGGUGUCGCAAAUUUACUCAUAACAGAAGGUGAAUCAAGUGCAGAGCUAGAUGACAGUUCCUUACAUGUCCUCCUAGUUGAGGGGUAGAUCUUCGUUUUAGAGUGUUUCAUAUUCUCCAUAGUGAUCAACAUAUAUAAAUUCCAAGUGACUUAGAGAAUAAAGCUAUGCUCCCCGGCAACGGUGCCAGAAAAUGGUCUUGAUAACCCACAAGUGUAGGGGAUCGCAAUAGUUUUCGAGGGUAGAGUAUUCAACCCAAAUUUAUUGAUUCGAUACAAGGGGAGCCAAAUACUAUUCUUGAGUAUUAGCAGUUGAGUUAUCAAUUCAACCACACCUGAAAUACUUAAUAUCUAUAGCAAAGUAUUUAGUAGCAAAGUAGUAUGGGAGUCACAGUAACAAUAGCAGUUUUGUAGAGAUUGUAAUAGUACCAAUGGAAAAGUAACUUAGCAAAGAUCAAUAUGUGGAAAGCUCAUAGGCAAUAAAUCAGUGAUGGACAAUUAUGUUGGAUGCCAUUCAUCAUGCAAUAGUUAUAACAUAGGUUGAUACAGAACUAGCUCUAAUUCAUCAAUUUAAUGUAGUUAUGUAUUCCAUAUAUAGUCAUACAUGCAUAUGGAAAAGAACUUGCAUGACAUCUUUUGUCCGACCCUCCUAUGGCAGCGGGGUCCUGAUGGAAACUAAGGGAUAUUAAGGCCUCCUUUUAAUAGAGAACCUUAGCAAAGCAUUAGCACUUAGUGAAUACCUGAACUCUCAAACAACGGUAAGCACCGGAAAGAAUCCCAGUUAUUGUCACCCUGGGGGAUGCGGAUCAUAACUCGUAAUACGUGUCUACAACUUGCAAGAUAGGAUCAAGAACACANCUGAAAUCAUGGCACUCAGGCCCUGUGACAAGCAUUAAGCAUAGCAAAGUCAUAGCAACAUCAAUCUCAGAACAUAAUGGAUACUAGGGAUCAAACCCUAACAAAACUAACUCGAUUACAUGAUAGAUCUCAUCCAACCCAUCAACGUAAAGCAAGCCUGCGAUGGAAUUACUCACGAACGGCGGAGAGCAUCAUGAAAUUGGUGAUGAAGGAUGGUUGGUCAUGAUGACGGCGUCGAUUUCCCGUCUCCAAAGCCCAAAUCAGACUCCAGAUCUGCCCUCCCGAGGAAGAAGAGGAGGUGGCGGCGGCUCCGUAUCGUAAAACGCAAUAAACUCUUCUCUCUGAUUUUUCUCCCCGAACAGGAAUAUAUAGGAGUCGAAACAAGGUCGGUGGAGCUUCAAGGGCCCCACAAGCCAGGGGCGCGGCCAAGGGGGCGCCCUGUAGUCUUGUGGCCAGGGGGUGGCCCCUCUCCGGUAGAUUCUUUCACUAGUAGUUUUUAUUAAUUCCAAAAAUAUUCUCCGUAAAUUUUCAGGACAAUCCGAGAACUUUUAUGUUUGCACAAAAAUAACACCAAGGCAAUUCUGCUGAAAACAGCGUCAGUUCGGGAUAGUUCCAUUCAAAUCAUGCAAAUUAGUGUCCAAAACAAGGGCAAACGAGUUUGAAAACGUAGAUACGUUGGAGACGCAUCAAUCGAUUCCUGGGAGGCAACCAGAAAUGGUUUGAUAGCAGAAUUAUGGCGGAAGCUAAUUACUUGAGGUGGACGCUAGCGCGUAAGACAAAUUAGAACCGAUGCCUUAAGAACUACUACAUAAUCCCGCUUUUUCUGGUCAUGAUCGGCCUUCUCUUGUAUGCGAUCAGAUAAUAACUAGGUUACAUAGAUGAUGAAUCAUGAUUGUGACCAUGGUUACUUGCAUGUAUUCGAGACCUGUAAUAACCUAUAUCGCUAUCUCUUAAUAUCAAGUAAUAACAUGUUCGACCAUUAGCAAUGAUGAUGAGACGAGAUGAAAGACUUUCUUUUAUUCAUCGAUGCCGAUGAUUAAACAUUUUGGUAUCUUUUCUGUUUCAGUGAAUAUGCAUGUUCUUAUUGUAUAGAAAUUGUAUUUGUAUCAAUAGAGCCAAACCCACCAAAAAUAGCAUAAAAACUAGCUGUAGCGUUGGUCCUUGGUUUACCAGCAGUGCAUGUUUAACAGUAGAGCUGCUAGCACAUAUGCUGUGCAGAUAGUGAGUAGUAGUGCCGAUAUAAGGAGCGCUACUAAUAUAGGAUAUUAUCAGUAGCGCUGGGUAGAAAACGUGUUACUGCCAAAAAAUAGUUGUAGCGACAUAGCUUUAGCGCGCCUACCAACGCUACUGGUAGCCUACAACCCAGCACUACUGGUAGGGUUUUCCCUAGUAGUGUCAAGUUCUUUUAUCUUAUAAAGUUUUGCUUCUCUUUUCAACCAGAGUGCUACCCAAAUUUUAUCUUUCCCGUUCCCUCUCUUUCCCGUUUAAACCGAAGUGGUUUUGAAUUCUUCCUUGUUGCACGUCCCAUUCUUCAUCUCUUUGCAACCUUAAGGGUUCUUUGGUUUCACUCGCUGAUCACAGAAGCAACUUAGUUUUACCUCUUCCACUUUCUCUUCUUCAUCGCAUACUAAGAUCUCGGGACGAGACCUCAUGUAAGUGGGGGAGAGUUGUAACAGCCCGAGACCGACGCCCUUGAUGCCUUCAAGUUAUUUCGAGUUUCGCCGUGUGUUUUAUUUAUUUUUCACAUUCAUCAUCGCAUCAUUCACAUUGCAUUGGCACUCUAUCGCCGUCAUUUUCCAUAACUUGCAUCCAUUGAUCUUUGUUGGUUCUUUCCGUUCUUGGUGUUGACCGUCUGGAGACCAACUACACACUAGCACACACCCGCAACAUCGUUCAAAUAUUAUUUGAAAGUGGGAAUAAAACAAUUUUUUAAUGGGUUGAAAGUUGGCGUGCAAACAUAAUAUAGCAUAGGUAGACCGCCUGCCAAAUUUCAUCGCAUUUGGAGUGUGUUUGAUACCCCAACAGAUAAACCUAUAGCAACACUAUAGCUUGUCAAAUUGUCGAACUUUUCGAGCAAAUAAAACUUACUUCCAUGUUGCCCAUGUUUGCCCUCUCUCCUAUGCCUACCCCCUCUGCACAGUGCACACACAACUCACGCGUACCCGAUAUAUUUCCCCGAACACGAGAUGCCCGUCCGUGACUGUUGGAUCCGGAUCAACCCCGAAAUAGCCCAAACGUAUACGGUUUCUAUUUUGGACUCCCCUAGCAUAAUUAUCUCGACCGUAAGAUCUACUCUCUCCGUUCCUAAAUAUAAGUCUUUUAAGAAAUUUCACUAGAAGUCUACAUACGGAGCAAAAUGAGUGAAUCUACACUGUAAAGUAUGUCUACAUACAUCCGUAUGUAGUUUACUAGUGGAAUCUCUAGAAAGACUUAUAUUUAGGAACGGAGGGAGUAAACCAGAGGGACCUGCUUGCCCCUAAACUUAAUUCUGUACCUAUAAAUAACAACCUAACGGUAAAUUCGUGGACGGCUGUCCCAUCUAGCUAUCCUUUUCGCCGCCACCACAUCCUCCUCGUUCUUGUCAUCCCUCCAACCAACGAGCAACCUGUAUAUAUUUCCCCACCAGUCCACAAUCCAGCAAAAUCCCCUUCGAUCCGAGAGCCGACCUACGCCCGAACCACCAAAACCCGCAUCUGACUUCGUUCCCGAGCAGCAGGAGCUCCCGCACCCUUGCAUCGCCUGUUGAAGGAGUUCCACUACCUGGUGCUCCCUCCUUAUCGCCCAGCCGCCUUGCCUUCCUAUGCUCAUCCAUCCUCCCACAGAUCCCCAUGUAGCGACCAGGGGCCUCGAUGCCCUCGCCACAAAGCGCCUGCCUAGUGCUCGUUGCACGACCGAGGAGAACCGCUAUCUCGGGAACCCUCGCCCUUGAGAAAUUCACCUGCACUGCCAGCUUCCGGCGCGUCGCAGAGCCACUGAUGACCAAACCCAGGCCAGCCACCCGUUGUCUCCUUCCCCUUGGAUCCAUCUCUUAUCUCAGCUCUCUCCCUCUUCUUCUCUACUGCAGGCACGCCAACGCCGAACCAUGUCCAUUGACCUCAAAGCUCUGCCCCAAGAUGUCGUCGAGGUUCACCCGCCUCAACCAUGACCAGAUCUAACGCCCGAGCAUACACUAUUGGACAGGGUGGGCAUGCUACGACUAGGCACCCAGUUCACGUGUACCAAGCAAAACACACUACCGGACAAGGAGGGCUGGGGAAUCAUGCAUGAGUACAUAUUUGAAACUUCGAUCGGACUGCCUUACAGGUUCAGCCUCAAAUAGGCUACGUCCCUGGACUAGAGUCUUGUAUUGUUAUCGGUCAUAGCCAACACCCUUGCCGGCUUUCCCUUGGCGUCUGUUGAGUUGAUGAUGAUAAGUGGUGAACGCAUGUCUAAAAAAGUACAUCCAUGUAGGGUAAACAAUGUAUUUGAAUAGCUGCGUCCCACAUUAAGGACUACUAGGAUACCUAUACUAUUCGUAGACAACUUCAAUGGUUACUCUAAAAAUGCCAAGAUAAUUGUGAGUGCUAUGGAUUUCCUUCUUGUAGUGAGACAAGGGAGGAUUCAUGGUAGUGUAUUGUUAUAGUGACUGGCUAGAUUAACUCAGGUGCGCUUUCUUACCUUUUAAAGCUACUAGUGGUACUAGUAGUCUUGUAGGUACAUGGCCCGAAAAGUAAUAUGUGGCCCCGCACCAACCUAUGGUUGGAUACGUAUGAGGACACUGGUAUCCCCCACUUACCAGACUUCAAGUUCUAAAUAUGGCACCAGUGCUCAUAUUUUUUUUUUGAUUUAUUUUAAGUAUUUCGACGAUUUCCGUACAAUUGGAGGAGGAUUUCGUCACCUAUGAAGGCGUAUGUGACAACUUCAUCGACCUCAGGAUGAUAUCCUGGCUUUGUUUCUCGACGGUGCUCAAGGGGAUAGGGGUGCUCAAAGGUGCAUACAUAGAGGUGACUAUGUGUAUAUACAACCGUCAAUACUAUGAUAAAAAUGUGAUAUGCGGGGUAAAAAGAACAAAUCUGCAAUAACCUCAAAAAUUAGUUUCUUGAUCGAUUUGAAGUAAUUAGCUACUAUAUUGCAGUAAUUAGCAACUCAAACCUAAGCAACCUUAAUUGGAUUUAAUUUAGGAAACUCCCACGAGAGGAGUGGCCUGGCUACCAAGAUCAUUAUGAGCGAGAUAUUGAAAUAAAAAAUACUAGGUAAUAAUUUGUUGUGGCUUUCAAUACAUACUAUGCAAGCAUUACCUUGUAAAUUUUUCUUGCCAGCUCACGCGUCAUAAUUUUAAUAUAAAUAUGUUGGAUUGCCAGUAUAAAUGAAUUUCAUUUGUAUUGAUAUUCCUUCACAGAAAUAAACUAUUUAGAUAUACAUUGAUAUUAUCCCUAAAUAGGUCUUAAUUAUGUGUGUGCGCGCGUGUAUAUAUAUGUGCGAUGGUGUCUUCUUGCGGUAGUAACAGAACAUAGUGUUUUACGUCAAGCUAGAUCUAGGUAUUUUACGUACUUCUAUUAAAUAAUAAUUAAUUGCAAGUUCUUCAGAUAACAUAUGGAAAAGUGCACAUAUUACUCAUCACUCGUAACUUCAAAACUUGCAAGUGGUAAGUGCUUACAACUAGCGAGUUUUGAUAAUUAGUCGUCAGUGGUAACUGUUCGGACAUCUGUGGUGUGUGAUAGAAUUCGAACAAAGAAUAAGCAAUUAUAGGGUAAUGACAAUAUUGAGAUUUGUUAAUGAGGUUCGAGGAACUCGCCUAUUAGCGAGGGCGAUGACGACGAGCGCUCGUUCGUGAAAUACCUCAACACUCGUCAUCCGGGCGCCGACACAAGCCGCCGGCUCCCUCAUGCGUGCCUAUCGGUAUCUAGUCGUCAUGGGUUACAACGUGGGAUGCCUACGCACAUAUAAGAGGCCAAGGGUACAACGUGUCCGAUUCCGACAUGUCUUACCUGUUAGAUAAAACGAGAUCAACAAGACACGAGAGACACAACUUUUUACGUGGAAACCCUUGCGAGAGAAAACCAUGGACGCACGAAGGCGCAAUCACUAUGAGGGUGGAGUAUUACAAGCACGAGACGACAUGCCGUCUUUAGGUGCGACUACAUGGAGUAUAUAUAAGGGGCAAUACAUGAGAGUCCUUGGAGGACAAGUAAACGAGUUGUACUCGUACGCGUCGGUAAUAACGCAAAGACCCACACCGUUUGUACUACGUCUAGUCCAAUACGGUAGAAUUUGGUUCACAAUUUAAUAAUCUCCACCUUGAGCCAAAUUUCCUCAAGUAGUCGAAGAAAAAGUGAAUAAUUCCAUCCAAAUCAGCAUAAACACCUUGUGCGUGAAAGUCCAUAGGACUAGUGAGAAUUACCAAUUAAGCGUGAGCAAAGCUCAAACUUAUUGGUAGGAAUUAGCUUUGUCAUCAUAUCAGCAGGAUUAUCAUGUGUACUUAUCUUGCAUACCUUCAAAUCACCUUUAGCAACAACAUCUCGAACAUAGUGAAAUCUGACAUCAAUGUGCUUUGUUCUCUCAUGAUACAUUGGAUUCUUUGUAAGAUAUAUAGCACUUUCACUGUCAGAAAAUAUGGUAGGACAAGAUGAAUCUCCACAAAGCUCAGUGUACAAACCUCUCAACCAGAUAGCUUCCUUGCAUGCCUCAGAAAUAGCCAUAUACUCGGCAUCAGUAGUGGAACAAGCCACAAUAGACUGCAAAGUUGCUCUCCAACUCACAGCACAACCACCAAUGAUAAAAACAUAACCUGUGAGCGAUCUUCUCUUAUCCAAAUCACCAGCAAAAUCAGAAUCAACAAAACUAACAAGUCCAUCUCGAGUAUUCCCAAACUGUAAAUAAGAAUUAGAAGUACCUUGCAGGUAUAUGAAAAUCCACUGAACUGCUUUCCAAUGCUCUUUUCCAGGAUUAGCCAUGUAUCUACUAACAACACUCAGUGCAUAAGAUACAUCCGGACGAGAACAAACCAUGACAUACCUAAGUGAACCAACUGCACUUGAAUAGGGAACUCUAGACAUGUACUCAACAUCUGCAUCUGACUCAGGACAUAAGGCUGAUGAUAAUUUGAAGUGUGCAGCUAACGGAGUACUUACUGGCUUGGCAUUAUGCAUGUUAAAACGACGAAGAAAUUUAUCAAUAUAUCCCUUCUGACUGAGAUAUAAUUUUCCAGACGGUCUAUCUCUCGAUAGUUCCACACCAAGAAUUUUCUUUGCUGCACCCAAAUCCUUCAUCUUAAAUUCAUUACUCAAUUGCUUCUUUAGUUCAUCAAUCUCUAACAUGCUCUUUGCAGCAAUUAACAUAUCAUCAACGUAAAGGAGCAAAUAAAUACCUGAACCAUUGACAGUUUUCAAAUAAACACAACUAUCAUAAUUAGACCGUUUGAAACCUUGAGAGAGCAUAAAGGUGUCAAAUCUCUUGUACCACUCUCGAGGGGAUUGCCAAUCCAUAAAGAGAUUUCUUUAGCUUACAGACAAGCUUUUCUUUUCCAGGAAUAACAAAACCUUCAGGAUAUUCCAUAUAGAUAUCUGAUACUUCCAUUUUGCAUCAUGUUUUCAUGUUGAUAUUUAUCGCUUCUUCGGCUGUUAUUUCACUUCACGGUACAAUUCUUAUGCCUUUUCUCUCUUAUUUUGCAAGGUUUACAUGAAGAGGGAGAAUGUCGGCAACUGGAAUUCUGUCAUGAAAGUGGAGCAAGUUUGAGAUACCUAUUCUGCGCAACUCCAAACGCCGUAAAAAUCAACGAGGAAUUUUUUCCUGAUUUAUCAAAAAUACCGGGCCGAAGAAGUGCCAGAGGGGCACCAGGGGGUGCCCACAAGCCUGCACGGUGCGGCAACCCCCAGGCCGCGCCAUGAGGGCUUGUGGGCAGCCCACUGGCCCACUUGCUCCCCUCUUUUGCUAUAUGGAGGGUUUCGUCGAGGAAAAAAUGAAGGAGGAGCUUUUCGUGGUUUCGCCGCCGCCACGAGGCGAAACUUGAGCAGAACCAAUCUAGAGCACCGGCAAGACGAUACUGCCGGGGAAAAUUCCCUCCCGGAGGGGGAAAUCGUCGCCAUCGUCAUCACCAACACUCCUCUCAUUGGAGGCGACUCGUCACCAUCAACAUCUUCAUCAGCACCAUCUCAUCUCCAAACCCUAGUUCAUCUCUUGUAACCAAUCUCCGUCUCGCGACUCCGAUUGCUACUUGUAAGGUUGCUAGUAGUGUUGAUUACUCUUUGUUGUUGAUGCUAGUUGGAUUACUUGGUGGAAGAGUUUAUGUUCAGAUCCUUCAUGCUACUCGUUACCACUCUGUCCAUGAAUAUGAUUAUGCUUUGUGAGUAGUUACCUUUGUUCCUGAGGACAUGGGAUAAGUCAUGCUAAUAGUAGUCAUGUGAAUUUGGUAUUCGUUCGGUAAUUUGAUAUGUUGUAUGUUGUUUUUCCGCUAGUGGUGUUAUGUGAACGUCGACUACAUAACACUUCACCAUUAUUUGGGCCUAGAGGAAGGCAUUGGGAAGUAGUAAGUAGAUGAUGGGUUGCUAGAGUGACAGAAGCUUAAACCCUAGUUUAUGUGUUGCUUCAUAAGGGGCUGAUUUGGAUCCACUAGUUUAAUGUCAUGGUCAGACUUUGUCUUAAUUCUUCUUUCGUAGUUGUGGAUGCUUGCGAGAGGGGUUAAACAUAAGUGGGAUGCUUGUCCAAGUAAGGGCAGUACCCAAGCGCCGGUCCACCCACAUAUCAAACUAUCAAAGUAAUGAACGUGAAUCAUAAGAACAUGAUGAAAACUAGCAUGACAGAAAUUCCCGUGUGUCUUCGGGAGCGUUUUUCCUCCUAUAAGACUUUGUCCAUGCUUGUCCCUUGCUACAAAUGGGAUUGAGACACUUUGUCGCACUGUUUCUACUUUUAUUACUUGUUGCCUGCUAUGAAUCAUCUCACCACACAAUCACUUGUUACUGACAAUUUCAGUGCCUGCAGAUUUUACCUUGCUGAAAACCACUUGUUAGAUCCUUUUGCUCCUCGUUGGGUUCGACACUCUUACUUAUCGAAAGGACUACGAUUGAUCCCCUAUACUUGUGGGUCAUCAAGACUCUUUUCUGGCGCCGUUGCCGGGGAGUGAAGCGCCUUUGGUAAGUGGAACUUGGUAAGGAAACAUUCAUAUAGUGUGCUGAAAUUUGUUGUCACUUUCACUAUGGAUACUAAUCCUUUGAGGGGCUCGUUUGGGGUAUCUUCACCUCGAACGGAAGCACAAAUAGUUGCUCCUCAACCUGCUGCACCUACUAAAAAUAUUUGCUUUGAAUUUCCUUCGGGUAUGCUUGAGAAACUGCUGGCUAAUCCUUUUACAGGAUAUGGAACAUCGCAUCCAGACUUGCAUCUAAUCUAUGUAGAUGAGGAUUGUGGUUUAUUAAGCUUGCAGGUAUGCUCGAGGAUGAGGUCAAGAAGAAGGUCUUUCCUUUAUCUUUGAAGGAUAAGGCGUUCACAUGGUAUAGGCUAUGUGAUGAUACUGGAUCAUGGGACUACAUUAAGGACUACUAGGAUACCUAUACUAUUCAUAGACAACUUCAAUGGUUACUCUAAAAAGGACAAGAUAAUUGUGAGUGCUAUGGAUUUGUUGGAAUUAUGCCCUAGAGGCAAUGAUAAAUAUAGUUAUUAUUAUAAUUCCUGUAUCAAGAUAAUCGUUUAUUAUCCAUGCUAUAAUUUUAUUGAAUGAAGACUCAUUUACAUGUGUGGAUACAUAGACAAAACACUGUCCCUAGCAAGCCUCUAGUUGGCUAGCCAGUUAAUCAACGAUAGUCAGUGUCUUCUGAUUAUGANNNNNNNNNNNNNNNNNNNNNNNNNNNNNNNNNNNNNNNNNNNNNNNNNNNNNNNNNNNNNNNNNNNNNNNNNNNNNNNNNNNNNNNNNNNNNNNNNNNNNNNNNNNNNNNNNNNNNNNNNNNNNNNNNNNNNNNNNNNNNNNNNNNNNNNNNNNNNNNNNNNNNNNNNNNNNNNNNNNNNNNNNNNNNNNNNNNNNNNNNNNNNNNNNNNNNNNNNNNNNNNNNNNNNNNNNNNNNNNNNNNNNNNNNNNNNNNNNNNNNNNNNNNNNNNNNNNNNNNNNNNNNNNNNCAUGAGAUCAUAUAACUUACUAACACCGGAGGAAUACUUUGUGUGCAUCAAACGUCGCAACGUAACUGGGUGACUAUAAAGAUGCUCUACAGGUAUCUUCGAAGGUGUUCGACUGGGAUUUGUCACUNNNNNNNNNNNNNNNNNNNNNNNNNNNNNNNNNNNNNNNNNNNNNNNNNNNNNNNNNNNNNNNNNNNNNNNNNNNNNNNNNNNNNNNNNNNNNNNNNNNNNNNNNNNNNNNNNNNNNNNNNNNNNNNNNNNNNNNNNNNNNNNNNNNNNNNNNNNNNNNNNNNNNNNNNNNNNNNNNNNNNNNNNNAGCCUUGCAAGCAAUGUGACUUAGUGUAAGUUGCGGGAUCUUGUAUUACGGAACGAGUAAAGAGACUUGCCGGUAAACGAGAUUGAAAUAAGUAUACGGAUACUGACUUUCUAAUCUCGGGCAAGUAACAUACCAAAGGACAAAGGGAAUGACAUACAUGAUUAUAUGAAUCCUUGGCACUGAGGUUCAAAUGAUAAGAUCUUCGUAGAAUAUGUAGGAUCCAAUAUGGGCAUCUAGGUCCCGCUAUUGGAUAUUGACCGAGGAGUCUCUCGGGUCAUGUCUACAUAGUUCUCGAACCCGUAGGGUUUGCACACUUAAGGUUCGACGUUGUUUUAUGCGUAUUUGAGUUAUAUGGUUGGUUACCGAAUGUUGUUCGGAGUCCCGGAUGAGAUCACGGACGUCACGAGGGUUUCCGGAAUGGUCCGGAAACGAAGAUUGAUAUAUAGGAUGACCUCAUUUGAUUACCGGAAGGUUUUCGGAGUUACCGGGAAUGUACCGGGAAUGACGAAUGGGUUCCGGGAGUUCACCGGGGGGCCCACCCACCCCGGGGAAGCCCAUAGGUGUUGGGGGUGCCGCACCAGCCCUUAGUGGGCUGGUGGGACAGCCCAAAAGAGGCCUAUGCGCAUUGGGAAGAAAAUCAAAGAGGAAAGGAAGAAAAAAAGGGAGGAGGUGGGAAAGGGAAGAAGGACUCCACCUUCCAAACCAAGUAGGACUCGGUUUGGGAGGGGAAUCCUUCCCCCCUUGGCUCGGCCGACCCCUUGGGGGUUCUUGGACCCCAAGGCAAGGCUCCCCCCUCCCUCUCCUAUAUAUAGUGGGGUUUUAGGGCUGAUUUGACACAACUUUGCCACGGCAGCCCGACCACAUAUCUCCACGGUUUUACCUCUAGAUCGCGUUUCUGCGGAGCUUGGGCGGAGCCCUGCUGAGACGAGAUCAUCACCAACCUCCGGAGCGCCGUCACGCUGCCGGAGAACUCUUCUACCUCUCCGUCUCUCUUGCUGGAUCAAGAAGGCCGAGAUAAUCGUCGAGCUGUACGUGUGCUGAACGCGGAGGUGCCGUCCGUUCGGCACUAGAUCGUGGGACUGAUCGCGGGAUAGUUCGCAGGGCGGAUCGAGGGACGUGAGGACGUUACACUACAUCAACCGCGUUCACUAACGCUUCUGCUGUACGGUCUACAAGGGUACGUAGAUCACACAUCCCCUCUCGUAGAUGGACAUCACCAUGAUAGGUCUUCGUGCGCGUAGGAAAUUUUUUGUUUCCCAUGCGACGUUCCCCAACAGGAUUUCCUUCUUGUAGUGAUAAAAGGGAGGAUUCAUGGUAGUGUAUUGUUAUAAUGACUGGCUAGAUUAACUCAGGUGCGCUUUCUUACCUUUUGAAGCUACUAGUGGUACUAGUAGUCUUGUAAGUACAUGGCCCGAAAAGUGAUAUGUGGCCGUGCACCAACCUAUGGUUGGAUAUUUCUGAGGACACUCGUAUCCCCCGCUCACCAUACUUCAAGUUCUAAAUGUGGCACCAGUGGUCAUAUUUUUUUUGAUUUAUUUUAAGUCUUCCGACGAUUUCCGUACAUUUGGAGGAGGAUUUCGUCACCUACGAAGGCGUAUGUGACAACUUCAUGGACCUCAGGAUGAUGUCCCGGCUUUGUUUCUCGACGGUGCUCAAAGGGAUAGGGAAUAGCAUACAUAGAGGUGAGAAUGUGUAUAUAUAAUCGUCAAUACUAUGAUAAAAAUGUGAUAUGCGGGCUAGAAAGAACAAAUCUGCAGUAUCCUCGAAAAUUAGUUUCUUGAUCUAUUUGAAGUAAUUAGCUACUAUAUUGCAGUAAUUAGCAAAGGAUAUCACUAGGGGUCAGACUACUGAUCUCUAGCAUAUUUUCAAACCAGUCAAUGACCGUACGAUUAAAGUUGUGAUUACCGUUAGAUUUGGUAUAAAGGUCAGCGCUGAGUUGUUUCUUUCCUUUUUUUCAAUUGCGUCCUCUACUAUUCCGCUUAGCAUGUCCCUCUACAAAUUUAUUUGCUUCCGUAACGGCUUUGCAUACUUUUAGUAAGUUUAUCCAUUAAUUCAUCCACAAUUUUUUUCCUAACCAAGGAGAUUGAUGCAUGACGUUCUCCUACAAUCCAUUUUCUCAGAAAAAAAUAUGCUUGCAUUCACCGGAGAGUUUUUGUCAAUAGUGAAUGAUUUUGCUUCAAUAUGAACUAAAUUUGUGUUCUACCUGACGAGAUAUUUUGUCAUGGAAGCAAACUUGAUUCAACCGACUAGAAUUGCACCAAGCUAUACGAAACACAUCAAUUUUUUUUUGUUUCUGUCAACUAUAAAAUUGCUUCGAGUGAAAUAUUAAUGUGUUUCCAUCCAUUCAAAAGGACUGUGUUAUUUUGUUUUCAUCGACUAGAGAGUCACUUCCAACCAAAUAGUAAUUUGCGUCCAUCUAGAGAGAAAAUUAGUUGCACUAUCGCAAAAAUACAUGCUUCAAACAAACUAGCCGUUUGCUUCCAUGGGCAUAAUUUUUGCUCCAUAGUUCCGUAGACAAAUAAUUUGAAUGGAAUACAUGCUCAAACAAGUUGAUACUUUCUUGUAGUAGCUUUCUACUUGUCGUUCUAUGGGAUGUGACAAACCACCAUCAAGUCGAUGCUUUUGGGGUGGCUUCUUGGCCAAGGUGCUCAUUAUCUUCGUGCAGGAGGGUGCAACACUCGUCUAUGCGGUGCUUCAAACUGUAGUACGUUUUGCUUCCAACGAUAUGAAAAGCACAUGUCAAUAGCCUGAAAUAAAACAUCAGUUCCAUGGAAGCAAUAAAAUGUUUGAUUGGAAGCAUAUAAGCAAGGAAAGUUUCGCGAACUAGUUGGAGAACAACUAUAUCGCCGAAGCACAUAUUUUGGCAUUUUGAAGCAAUAAAAAGUGGAUGGAAGCAUACAACUCCAUAUACUAGCAAAUGGCUUGAAACUCUUGUCAUCUUAAGUUUGUCUAUCAUGGAAACAUAGUGGUACAAACGGCGAGGAAGAUAGUGUCGGAUGAGAUAUAUGGAAUGAAAAAAUUGUGCAAACAGACGCGAUGAUAAAUAUCAUGAAGCAUGUUUGUUUAAAAGUAGAUAAAAAUCUCCACAAACCGGAAACAAAUAUACUAAAUCAAGAUGGCGUGAUGUACAUGAGAAGCAAGAAAAAAACCUAGGUACCAUGGAUGCCAAGCAAUGAUCUUUAUUGGUGAUUCGGAAGCAUGGAUCUUCCGAAGCAAUGCAUCUCAAACUAGAAUUCAAUGGCUCGAAGCCUAUGUACAGAUGAGAAGCUCAUAGGAAGCAUGGCAAAGAUUCAAUAUUCCAUCCGUAAAUAUGUAGCAUGGAAGAAGCAUAUUAACAUAGGAAGCAUGGAUGUUAUAUAUCAAUAAUUGUUUGGUAUCACGGCAUAGUAAGAAUGUGAGAUGUAUUGCAAGAAAAAAAUUGAAAAUGCAAAAUAGUAGUCUUGAAAAUGAUAUCUAGAUGCAGAAAUUUAUUAUCUAAAAAUGAAUUUAGUCUAAACUAAUUGGAAAUAUCACAAAGGGACACAAAUCAAUUUGAAUAAUAGCAGUCAGACAUAUCAACAUAGAUCCCUAACCGUUGAUGGUGAGCCCACAUGUAUCCUAGUGCAUCGUUGUUGAAAGCCUAGGCAAAAAGGUGGUGGUGGAGGAGCACAUCUGGUCAAGAUGGCUAUGCUGGUGGAGGCAGUGUGGAGGGAAGAUGGAUCACGGAGAAACGUCGGAGAGACGGGCUCGUCGGCGACGUAGUGGAGAACAACAUGUGUGGUGGACUGGGAGGCGCAUCGAGAGCUGGGCGGCCGGAGGGAUCCAACCUGGCCAACGCUGCCGGAGCGAGCAUGGAUGACGCGUUGGAUAGCGGGGGUUGGAGGUUGUAGAGACGAACUUAGGAGAUGCGAUCUGGGCAUCAUGCGAGGGAUUAUGGGAACCUGCCAACCUAGCAGCGUAAAACACGGGGAGAUUAGCAAGAGAUUUUUGCUGGAGUCUCUUGACCGUGGGAUCAAGUAUGAAUCAACGCAUGACUGGUCUGGCAUUUUCCUUGUAUCAGCCGUAUGAUAUUAAGCGUUUCCCAUUAGCAAAUCAGACCUAAGCAACCUUAAUUGGAUUGAAUUUAGGAAACUCCCACGAGAGGAUUGGCCUGGCUACCAAGAUCAUUAUGAGCCAGAUAUUCAAAUCAAAAAUACUAGGUAAUAAUUUGUUGUGGCUUUCAAUACGUACUAUGCAAGCAUUACCUUGUAAAUUGUGCUUGCCAGCUCACACGUCAAAAUUUUAAUACUAAAUGUGUUGGAUUGCCAGUAUAAAUAAAUUUCAUUUGUAUUGAUAUUCUUUCAGAGAAAUAAACUAUUUAGAUAUACAUUGAUGUUAUCCCUAAAUAGGUCUUAAUUAUGUGUGUGCGCGCGCGUGUAUAUAUAUGUGCGAUGGUGUCUUCUUGCGGUAGUAACAGAACAUAGUGUAUUACGUCAAGCUAGAUCUAGAUAUUUUGUUCAUCAUAUUGUGAAGGACAAUGUCAAAUGUUGUCGUAGUGCUGAUGGUUCUUAGUUUGAUGAUCACCGCGGUCGUGGACCAGCAGCGAGCAGUGGCAGCUACUCCAGUAGAAGAAUCUCGUCAAGGAUGGGUCCGUUAUUCGGUGACUCCGAAGAACUCUACUAAAACAUCGUCAGUCUAUAAUGCGGGAAGCUCGUGUGCGGGUCGCGACCCAAAACAUUGCCCUCCCCCGCCCGCGUUAUAGCUGGUUGUAGUUCUUUUGCUAUGCAUUAUAUCCUAAAUAAAACAUUAUCCAAGCUUUUCAAUACUAUGUACUCUUCUACUUCAACUUUUCCAUCGGUAUUUUACAUACUUGUAUUAAAUAAUAAUUAAUUGCAAGUUCUUCAGAUAACAUAUGGAAAAGUGCACAUAUUACUCAUCACUCGUAACUUCAAAACUUGCAAGUGGUAAGUGCUUACAACUAGCGAGCUUUGAUAAUUAGUCGUCAGUGGUAACUGUUCGGACAUCUGUGAUGUGUGUUAGAAUUAAAUCGCAAUCAAUCGACCGAAGAAUAAGCAAUCACAGGAUAAUGACGAUAUUGAGAUUUGUUAAUGAGGUUCGACGAACUCGCCUAUUGCCGGGGACGAUGAGAACGAGCGCUCGUUCGUGAAAUACCUCAACAAUCGUCAUCCGGGCGCCGACACAAGCCGUCGGCUCCCUCAUGCGUGCCUAUCGCUAUCUAGUCCUCAUGGGUUACAACGUGGGAUGCCUCCGCACAUAUAAGAGGCCAAGGGUACAACGUGUCUGAUUCCCACACUACAUGUAUCUUACCUGUUAGAUAAAACGAGAUCAACAAGACACGAGAGACACAUAUUUUUACGUGGAAACCCUUGCGAGAGAAAGCCAUGAACGCACGAAGGCGCAAUCACUAUGAGGGUGGAGUAUUACAAGCACGAGACGACAUGCCAGCAGCUUAAAUAAACUGCUGGCUAAUCCUUUUACACGAGAUGGAACAUCGGAUCCAGAUUUGCAUCUGGUCUAUGCAGAUGAGGUUUGUGGUUUAUUUAAGCUUGCAGGUGUGCUCGAGGAUGAGGUCAAGAAGAAGGUCUUUCCUUUAUCUUCGAAGGAUAAGGCGUUGACAUGGUAUAGGCUAUGUGAUGAUAUUGGAUCGUGGGACUACAUUAAGGACUACUAGGAUACCUAUACUAUUCAUAGACAACUUCAAUGGUUACUCUAAAAAGGCCAAGAUAAUUGUGAGUGCUAUGGAUUUCCUUCUUGUACUGAGAAAAGGGAGGAUUCAUGGUAGUUUAUUGUUAUAGUGACUGGCUAGAUUAACUCAGUUGCGCUUUGUUACCUUUUUAAGCUACUAGUGGUACUAGUAGUCUUGUAUGUACAUGGCCCGAAAAGUAAUAUGUGGUCGUGCACCAACCUAUGGUUGGAUAUUUAUGAGGACACUGGUAUCCCCCGCUCACCAGACUUCAAGUUCUAAAUGUGGCACUAGUGCUCAUAUUUUUUUUGAUUUAUUUUAAGUCUUCCGGCGAUUUCCGUACAUUUGGAGGAGGAUUUCGUCACCUACGAAGGCGUAUGUGACAACUUCAUCGACCUCAGGAUGAUGUCCUGACUUUGUUUCUCGACGGUGCCUAAAGGGAUAGGGAAUAGCAUACAUAGAGGUGAGUAUGUGUAUAUAUAGUCAUCAAUACUAUGUUUAAAAUGUGAUAUGCGGGCUAGAAAGAACAAAUCUGCAGUAUCCUCGAAAAUUAGUUUUUGAUUGAUUUGAAGUAAUUAGCUACUAUAUUGCAGUAAUUAGCAAAUCAGACCUAAGCAACCUUAAUUGGAUUCAAUUUAGGAUACUCCCACGAGAGGAGUGGCGUGGCUACCAAGAUCAUUAUGAGCCAGAUAUUCAAAUCAAAAAUACUAGGUAAUAAUUUGUUGUGGCUUUCAAUACAUACUAUGCAAGCAUUACCUUGUAAAUUUUGCUUGCCAGCUCACGCGUCAUAAUUUCAAUAAUAAAUUUGUUGGAUUGCGAGUAUAAAUAAAUUUCAUUUGUAUUGAUAUUCCUUCACAGAAAUAAACUAUUUAGAUAUACAUUGAUAUUAUCUCUAAAUAGGUCUUAAUUAUGUGUGUGUGCUCGCGCGUAUAUAUAUGUGCCAUGGUGUCUUCUUGCGGUAGCAACAGAACAUAGUGUGUUACGUCAAGCUAGAUCUAGAUAUUUUGUUCAUUAUAUUGUGAAGGACAAUGUCAAAUGUUGUCGCAGUGCUUAUGGUUCUUAGUUUGAUGAUCACCGCGGUCGUGCACAAGCAGCGAACAGUGGCAGCUACUCCAGUAGAAGAAUCUCGUCAAGGAUGGGUCCGUUAUUCGGUGACUCCGAAGAACUCUACUACAACACCGUCAGUCUAUAAUGCGGGUAGCUCGUGUGCGGGUCGCGACCCAGAACAUUGCCCUCCCCCUCCCGCGUUAUAGCUGGUUGUAGUUCUUUUGCUAUGCAUUAUAUCCUAAAUAAAACAUCUUCCAAGCUUUUCAAUACUAUGUACUCUUCUACUUCAACUUUUCCAUCGGUAUUUUACAUACUUGUAUUAAAUAAUAAUUAAUUGCAAGUUCUUCAGAUAACAUAUGGAAAAGUGCACAUAUUACUCAUCACUCGUAACUUCAAAACUUCCAAGUGGUAAGUGCUUACAACUAGCGAGCUUUAUAAUUAGUCGUCACUGGUAACUGUUCGGACAUCUGUGGUGUGUGAUAGAAUUAAAUCGCGGUCAAUCGACCGAAGAAUAAGCAAUCACGGGAUAAUGACGAUAUUGAGAUUUGUUAAUGAGGUUCGACGAACUCGCCUAUUGCCGGGGGCGAUGACAACGAGCGCUCGUUCGUGAAAUACCUCAACACUCGUCAUCCGGGCGUCGACACAAGACGCCCGCUCCCUCAUGCGUGCCUAUCACUAUCUAUUCGUCAUGGGUUACAACGUGGGAUGCCUCCGCACAUAUAAGAGGCCAAGGGUACAACGUUUCCGAUUCCGACACUACAUGUAUCUUACCUGUUAGAUAAACCGAGAUCAACAAGACACGAGAAACACGGAUAUUUACGUGGAAACCCUUGCGAGAGAAAACCACGGAUGCACGAAGGCGCAAUCACUAUGAGGGUGGAGUAUUACAAGCACGAGACGACAUGCCGUCUUUAGGUGCGACUACAUGGAGUAUAUAUGGUGGGGCAAUACAUGAGAGUCCUUGAAGGACAAGUAAACGAGUUGUACUCAUAUGCGUCGGUAACAACGCAAAGGCCCACACCAUUUGUACUACGUCUAGUCCAAUACGGUAGAAUUUGGAUCACAAUUUAACAAUCUCCACCUCGAGCCAAAUUUCCUCCAGUAGUCGAAGAAAAAUUGAAUAAUUCCAUCCAAAUCAGCAUAAACACCUUGUGCGUUAAAGUCCAUAGGACUAGUGAGAAAUACCAAUUAAGCAUGAGCAAAGCUCAAACUUAUUGGUAGGAACUAGCUUUAUCAUCAUAUCAGCAGGAUUAUCAUGUGUACUUAUCUUGCAUACCUUCAAAUCACCUUUAGCAACAAUAUCUCGAACAUGGUGAAAUCUGACAUCAAUGUCCUUUGUUCUCUCAUAAUACAUUGGAUUCUUUGUAAGAUAUAUAGCACUUUGACUGUCAGAAAAUAUGGUAGGACAAGAUGAAUCUCCACAAAGCUUAGUGUACAAACCUCUCAACCAGAUAGCUUCUUUGCAUGCCUCAGAAAUAGCCAUAUACUCGGCAUCAGUAGUGGAACAAGCCACAAUACACUGCAAAGUUGUUCUCCAACUCACAGCACAACCACCAAUGAUGAAAACAUAACCUGUGAGCGAUCUUCUCUUAUCCAAAUCACCAGCGAAAUCAGAAUCAACAAAACCAACAAGUCCAUCUCCAGUAUUCCCAAACUGUAAAUAAGCAUUAGAAGUACCUUGCAGGUAUCUGAAAAUUCACUGAACUGCUUUCCAAUGCUCUUUUCCAGGAUUAGCCAUGUAUCUACUAACAACACUCAGUGCAUAAUAUAAAUCCGGACAAGAAAAAACCACGACAUACAUAAGUGAACCAACUGCACUUGAAUAGGGAACUCUAGACAUGUACUCAAUAUCUGCAUCUCACUCAGGACAUAAGGCUGAUGAUAAUUUGAAUUGUGCAGCUAACGGAGUACUUACUAGCUUGGCAUUUUGCAUAUUAAAACGACGAACAACUUCAUCAAUAUAUCCCUUCUAACUGAGAUAUAAUUUUCCAGACGGUCUAUCUCUGGAUAUUUCCAUGCCAAGAAUUUUCUUUGCUGCACCCAAAUCCUUCAUCUCAAAUUCAUUACUCAAUUGCUUCUUUAGUUCAUCAAUCUCUGACAUGCUCUUUGCAUCAAUUAACAUAUCAUUAAUGUAAAUGAGCAAAUAAAUAGCUAAACCAUUGACAGUUUUCAAAUAAGCACAACUAUCAUAAUUAGACCGUUUGAAACCUUGAAAGAGCAUAAAGGUGUCAAAUCUCUUGUACCACUCCCGAGGGGAUUGCUUCAAUCCAUAAAAGUAUUUCUUUAGCUUACAGACAAGAUUUUCUUUUCAAAGAAUAACAAAACCUUCAGGUUAUUCCAUAUAGAUAUCUGAUACGUACAUUUUGCAUCAUGUUUUCAUGUUGAUAUUUAUCGCUUCUUCGACUGUUAUUUCACUUCACGGUACAAUUCUUAUGCCUUUUCUCUCUUAUUUGGCAUGGUUUACAUGAAGAGGGAGAAUGCCGGCAACUGGAAUCCUGGCCUAAAAGUGGAGCAAGUUUGAGAUACCUAUUCUGCGCAACUCCAUAUGCCGUAAAAAUGAACGAGGAUUUUUUUCCCGAUUUAUCAAAAAUAUUGGGUCGAAGAAGUGCCAGAGGGGCACCAGGGGGCGCACACAAGCCCGCACGGCGCGACCACCCCCCAGGCCACGCCAUGAGGGCUUGUGGGAAGCCCACUGGCCCACUUGCUCCCCUAUUUUUCUAUAUAGAGGGUUUCGUCCAGGAAAAAAUUAAGGAGGAGAUUUUUCGUGGUUUCGGCGCCGCCACGAGGCGGAACUUGAGCAGAACCAAUCUAGAGCUUCGGCAGGACGAUCCUGUUGGGGAAACUUCCCUACUGGAGGGGGAAAUCGUCACCAUCGUCAUCACCAACACUCCUCUCAUCGGAGGGGACUCCUCACCAUUAACAUCUUCAUCAGCACCAUCUCAUCUCCAAACCCUAGUUCAUCUCUUGUAACCAAUCUCCUUCUCGCGACUCCGAUUGCUACUUGGAAAGUUGCUCGUAGUGUUCAUUACUCUUUGUAGUUGAUGCUAGUUGGAUUACUUGGUGGAAGAGUUUAUGUUCAGAUCCUUUAUGCUACUCGUUACCACUCUGGUCAUGAAUAUGAUUAUGCUUUGUGAGUAGUUACUUUUGUUCCUGAGGACAUGGGAUAAGUCAUGGUAAUAGUAGUCAUGUGAAUUUGGUAUUCGUUCGGUAAUUUGAUAUGUUGUAUGUUGUUUUUCCUCUAGUGGUGUUAUGUGAACGUCGACUACAUAACACUUCACCAUUAUUUGGGCCUAGAGGAAGGCAUUGGGAAGUAGUAAGUAGAUGAUGGGUUGCUAGAGUGACAGAAUCUUAAACCCUAGUUUAUGCAUUGCUUCGUAAGGUGCUGAUUUGGAUCCACUAGUUUAAUGCUAUGGUUAGACUUUGUCUUAAUUCUUCUUUCGUAGUUGUGGAUGCUUGCGAGAGGGGUUAAUCAUAAGUGGGAUGCUUGUCCAAGUAAGGGCAGUACCCAAGCGCCGGUCCACCCACAUAUCAAACUAUUAAAGUAACGAACGCGAAUCAUAUGAACAUGAUGAAAACUAGAAUGACAGAAAUUCCCGUGUGUCCUCGGGAGCGUUUUUCCUCCUGUAAGACUUUGUCCAUGCUUGUCCCUUGCUACAAAAGGGAUUGGGCCACUUUGCUGCACCGUUGCUACUUUUUUUACUUGUUGCCUGCUAUGAAUCAUCUCAGCACACAACCACUUGUUACCGACAAUUUCAGUGCCUGCACAUUUUACCUUGCUGAAAACCACUUGUCAGAUCCUUCUGCUCCUCGUUGGGUUUGACACUCUUACUUAUCUAAAGGACUACGAUUGAUCCCCUAUACUUGUGGGUCAUCAAGACUCUUUUCUGGCGCCCUUGCCGGGGAGUGAAGCGCCUUUGGUAAGUGGAACUUGGUAAGGAAACAUUCAUAUAGUGUGCUGAAAUUUGUUGUGACUUUCACUAUGGAUACUAAUCCUUUGAGGGGCUUGUUUGGGGUAUAUUCACCUCGAACGGAAGCACAAAUAGUUGCUCCUCAAACUUCUGCACCUACUGAAAAUAUUUUCUUUGAAUUUCCUUCGGGUAUGCUUGAGAAACUACUGGCUACUCAUUUUACAGGAGAUGGAACAUCGCAUCCAGACUUGCAUCUAAUCUAUGUAGAUGAGUUUUGUGGUUUAUUUAAGCUUGCAGGUGUGCCCGAGGAUGAGGUCAAGAAGAAGGUCUUUCCUUUAUAUUUUAAGGAUAAGGCGUUGACAUGGUAUAGGCUAUGUGAUGAUACAGGAUCAUGGGACUACAAUCGGUUGAAAUUGGAAUUUCAUCAAAAGUUUUAUCCUAUGCAUUUAGUACAUCGUGAUCGGAAUUAUAUUUAUACGUUUUGGCCUCGUGACAGAGAAAGCAUCGCUAAAGCGUGGGGGAGGCUUAAAUCAAUGCUAUAUUCAUGCUCCAAUCAUGAGCUCUCGAGAGAAAUUAUCAUUCAGAACUUCUAUGCUCGGCUUUCUCAUGAUGAUCGCACCAUGCUUGACACUUCUUGUACCGGUUCUUUUAUGAAGAGAGAUAUUGACUUCAAAUGGAAUGUACUGGAGAUAAUUAAACGCAACUCUGAAGAUUGGGAGCUUGAAGAAGGUAAAGAUUCAGGUACGAAUUUCACGUUUGAUUGCGUUAAAUCCUUAGUUGAGACAAAUACUUUUUGUGACUUUAGCGCUAAGUAUGGACUUGACUCUGAGAUAGUAGCUUCAUUGUGUGAAUCCUUUGCUGCUCAUAUUGAUCUCCCCAAAGAGAAGUGGUUUAAAUUUCAUCCUCCUUUAGAAGUCAAUGUAGUUAAACCCACUCUAGUUGAAGAGAGAGUCAUUGCCUAUAAUGAUCCUGUGGUUCCUAGUGCUUACAUUGAAAAACCACCUUUCCCUGUUAGGAUAAAGGAUCAUUCCAAAGCUUCAACUGUUAUAUGUAGAGGCUACAUUAGAGCACCUACACCCUCUGAGCAAAUUAGAGUUGAACCUAGCAUUACUAUUAUCAAAGAUCUUCUGUCUGAAGAAGUUGAGGAACAUAAUAUUCACUUUUGUGAAGAUGCUACGAGAAUUGCUAAACCUCACGUUAGAGACAAACAUAGGCCUGUUGUUGGCAUGCCCGUGGUUUCUGUUAAGAUAGGAGAUCAUUGUUAUCAUGGUUUAUGUGACGUGGGUGCUAGUGUUAGUGCAAUACCUCAAUCCUUAUACGAUGAAAUCAAAGUUGAGAUUGCACCUGUUGAGAUAGAGCCUAUUGACGUCACUAUUCAGCUUGCCAAUAGAGAUACUAUCUGCCCUGUGGGAAUUGUUAGGGAUGUUGAAGUCUUGUGUGGUAAAACAAAGUGUCCUGCUGAUUUCCUCGUUCUUUCUACGACACAAGAUAGCUUUUGUCCCAUCAUAUUUGGUAGACCUUUUCUCAAUACCGUCAAUGCUCAUAUUGAUUGUGAGAAGCAAACUGUCACUGUUGGCUUUGAAGGUGUGUCACAUGAGUUCAAUUUCUCUAAGUUUGGUAGACAACCUCAUGAAAAGGAGUUGCCUAGUAAGGAUGAAACUAUUGCCUUAGCUUCUAUUGCCGUGCCUCCUACUGAUCCCUUAGAGCAAUACUUGCUUGAGCAUGAAAAUGAUAUGCAUAUGGAUGAAAGGGAUGAAAUACAUAGAGUUGUCUUAGAACAAUAUCCUAUUCUUAAGAAUAACUUGCCUGUUGAACUGCUUCGGGACCCACCUCCACCAAAGGGUGAUCCUGUGUUCGAGCUUAAACAGUUGGCUGAUACUGUUAAGUAUGCCUAUCUUGAUGAAAAGGAGAUAUAUCCUGUCAUUAUUAGUGCUAGCCUCUCAGAGCAUGAAGAAAAGAAGUUACUAAAAACUCUGAGGAAGCACCGUGCUGCUAUUGGAUAUACUCUUGAUGAUCUUAAGGGCAUUAGUGCUACUCUAUGCCAGCAUAAGAUUAAAACUGAUCCUGAUUUCAAACCAGUUGCUAAUCAUCAAAGGAGAUUAAAUCCUAAGAUGAAAAAAGUAGUGAGAGAAGAAAUACUAAAGCUCCUGGAAGCGGGUAUUAUCUAUCAUGUUGCUCAUAGCGAUUGGUUGAGUCUGGUGCAUUGCGUUCCUAAGAAGGGAGGCAUUACCGUUGUCCCUAAUGAUAAGGAUGAAUUGACCCUAAUGAUAAGGAUGAAUUGAUCCCACAGAGGAUUAUUACUGGCUAUAGGAUGGUGAUCGAUUUCAGGAAACUGAAUAAGUCCACUAGGAAAGAUCAUUACCCUCUGCCUUUUAUCGACCAAAUGCUAGAAAGGCUGUCUAAACACACACACUUCUACUUUCUAGACGGUUAUUCUGGUUUCUCCCAAAUACCAGUUGCACAAUCUGAUCAGGAGAAAACCACUUUCACCUGCCCUUUCGGUACCUUUGCUUAUAGACGUAUGUCUUUUGGCUUAUGUAAUGCACCUACCACCUUUCAAAGAUCUAUGAUGGCUAUAUUCUCAGACUUUUGUGAAAAGAUUGUUGAGGUUUUCAUGGAUGACUUCUCUGUUUACAGGUCUUCCUUUGAUGAUUGCCUCAGCAACCUUGAUCGAGUCUUAUAAAGAUGUAAAGACACCAAUCUUGUCUUGAAUUGGGAGAAGUGCCACUUUAUGGUUAAUGAAGGCAUCGUCUUAGGACAUCAAAUUUCUGAAAGAGGUAUUGAAGACGAUAAGGCUAAGGUUGAUGCAAUCGAGAAAAUGUCAUACCCCACAGAUAUCAAAGGUAUAAGAAGUUUCCUUGCUCAUGCUGGUUUCUAUAGAAGGUUCAUUAAGGACUUCUCUAAGAUUUCUAGGCCUCUUACCAAUAUCUUGCAAAAGGAUAUUCCUUUUGUUUUUGACGAUGAUUGUGAGGAAGCCUUCGAAAUACUUAAGAGGGCUUUGAUGACUGCACCUAUUGUUCAACCACCUGAUUGGAACUUACCUUUUGAGAUCAUGUGUGACACUAGUGAUUAUGUUGUUGGUGCUGUUCUAGGGCAAAGAGUUGAUAAGAAGUUGAAUGUUAUUCACUACGCUAGUAAAACUCUAGACAGUGCCCAGAGAAACUAUGCUACUACGGAGAAGGAAUUUUUGGCAGUUGUGUCUGCAUGUGAAAAGUUCAGGUCUUACAUAGUUGAUUCCAAAGUCACUAUUCACACUGAUCAUGCUGCUAUUAAGUAUCUCAUGGAGAAGAAGGACACUAAACCUAGACUUAUCAGAUGGGUUCUCUUGCUAUAGGAAUUUGAUUUGCACGAUGUCGACAGAAAGGGUGCUGAUAACCCCGUAGCAGAUAACUUGUCUAGGUUGGAGAAUGUUCUUGAUGACCCACAACCUAUUGAUGAUAGCUUUCCCGAUGAGAAAAUGAAUGUCAUCAAUGCUUCACGUAGUGCACCGUGGUAUGCUGAUUAUGCAAACUAUAUCGUUGCCAAAUAUAUACCACCUAGUUUCACGUACCAGCAAAAGAAGAAAUUCUUCUUUGACUUGAGACAUUACUUCUGGGAUGAUCCUCACCUUUAUAAGGAAGGAGUAGAUGCUGUUAUUAGAUGUUGUGUACCUGAACAUGAACAGGGACAAAUCCUACAGAAGUGUCACUCCGAGGCCUACAGAGGACACCAUGCGGGAGAUAGAACUGCACACAAGGUAUAGCAAUCAGGUUUCUAUUGGCCCACUCUCUUCAAGGAUGCCCGUAAAUUUGUCUUGUAUUGUGACGAAUGUCAAAGCACAAGUAAUAUUAGCAAACGUCAGGAAAUGCCUAUGAACUAUUCACUUGUCAUUGAACCAUUUGAUGUCUGGGGCUUUGAUUAUAUGGGACAUUUUCCAUAAUCCAACGGGUAUACACAUAUCUUAGUUGCUAUUGAUUACGUCACUAAGUGGGUAUAACCUAUCCCCACUAGUAGUGAUGAUCACAACACCUCUAUCAAGAUGCUGAAAGAAGCUAUCUUCCCUAGAUUUGGAGUCCCUAGAUAUCUAAUGACCGACGGUGGUUCAUGAUUCCGUGACACCAGUAGCAAGUAGCAACAGUAGCAAGCGAAAGUAGUAGCAACAACAGCAACAGAGCAAGACAAGAAACAGCAGCAGAGCAAGACAAGUAACAGCAGUAGAGCAAGACAAGUAACAGCAUUAGUAGGACAAACUCGUAGGCAAUGGGUCGGUGAUUUGUUUGAAUGAUAUUCAUCAUGCAAUAGUUAUAACACGAAGAGAUAUGUGGCUAGCUCCCGUUCGUCAAUGUGAUGUAGGCAUGCAUUCCGUGUGUCGUCAUACGUGCUUCGGGAAAAGAACUUGCAUGAAAUCUAUUGUCCAUCCCUCCCGUGGCAGCAGAGUCCAAAAGGAAACUACAGGAUAUUAAGGUUCUCCUUUUAAUAAAGAACCGGACCAACACAUUAGCACUUGGUGAACACAUGAACUCCUCAAACUAUGGUCAUUACCGGGAGUGGUUCCGGUUAUUGUCACUCCGGGGUUGCCGGAUCAUAACACAUAGUAGAUAACUACAACUUGCAAGAUCGGAUCUAAAACACACAUAUAUUGGUGACAACAUAAUAAUUUCAGAUCUGAAAUCAUGGCACUCGGGCCCUAGUGACAAGCAUUAAGCAUGGCAAAGUAGUAGCAACAUCAAUCUCAGAACAUAGUGGAUACUAGGGAUCAAUCCCCGUCAAAACUAACUCUAUUACAUGAUAGAUCUCAUCCUACUCAUCACCGCCCAGCGAGCCUAGAAAUAGAUUACUCACGAACGACGAAGAGCUUCAUGGAAUUGGAGAGGGAAGUAGGUUGAUGAUGACGAUGGCGACGAUUUCCCCUCUCCGCAGCCCAAAACGGACUCCAGAUCUGCCCUCCAGAUGAAGAACAGGUUGUGGCGGCGCCUCCGUAUCACAAACGCGACGAGAUCUUCUCUCUUGAUUUUUCUGGGACGAAAGUGAACUUAUAGAGCUGAGAUUGGGGGCGGCAGAGCCAUGUGGGCCGCACAAGCUUGCCAUCCGCCACGAGGGGGGUGGAGGUGGCAGGGCUUGUGGCCCACUGGCCCAUCCCCUCAGGUGGAUCUUUGCGCAGGUAUUUAUCAUAUUUUCCAAAAAUAUUCCCCGUAAAUUUUCAGGACGUUCUGAGAACUUUGAUUUCUGCACAAAAAUAACACCAAUGCAAUUAUGCUGAAAACAGUGUCAGUCCAGGUUAGUUCCAUUCAAAUCAUGCAAAUUAGAGUCCAAAACAAGGGCAAAAGAGUUUGGAAAAGUAGAUACGAUGGAGAUGUAUCAACUCCCCCAACUUUAAAACCUUGCUUGUCCUCAAGAAACUCAGUUGACAAACUGAGAGAGAAAGAAAAACUUUGACAAACUCUUUUUGAUCUUGUUGUUGCAACUAUGUCUAACUCAUAACCAGAAUUUCAGCAAGAUCACAAGUUAACCACAUAAGCAAGUGACACAAAGGUCUCAUGGUAAACUAAUAUCAAUGGCAUAAUCAUUUAACGAGCAAAUAAUAAUGAGGUUCGAAUACUAACACUUCAAUCAAAACAAGCAUGAAGUAAUAUGAAUAGGUGGUAUCUCGCUAGCUCUUUCUGCGACCGCAAAACAUAAAUGCAGAGCACUUUCGAAGAUCAAGGGCUGACUAAACAUUGUAAUUCAUAGCAAUGAAGAUCCAGUCAUAGUCAUACUCAAUAUCAAUCAAAAGCAAAGCAUAAAAAUGACAGAGGUGCUCUCUAAUUGGUGCUUAUAUAACAAGAGGAUGACUCGACAGGAAAAUAAAUAGACAGGCCCUUCGCAGAGGGAAGCAUUGAUUUGCAGAGGUGCCAGAGCUCAAGCUUUGAAAACAGAGAUAAUAAUUGUGGGUGGCAUGCUUUCAUUGUCAACACAAUGGCCAAGAGUUCUCAAUAUCUUCCAUGCUACUCAUGCUAUAGGCGGUUCCCAAACAGAAAAGUAAAGUUUUACCUCCCCCCACCACCAAUCAAUCACAAUCCACGGCUUGCCGAAUCCUCGGGUAUCAUCCAUACUAACAUCAAUCCGGGGGGAGUCUUGUUUUACAGUUAUGUUUUCGAUUUAAGCGUGAACUGGGCAUUCGAAUUACCGGCCCUUUCUCGUGAAUGAGAGUGAAUAAACACAUGUCGAGGAUAACACUCCUAGCAUGGAAGAUACCAAUAGCCCCCUGUCACCACAUGAGCGGUUCGGGCAUGCAAAACAGUUUAUUUCUUGAAGGCUUAGAGAGUGGCACAUGCAAAUUUACUUGGAAUGGCAGGUAGAUACCGCAAAUAGGUAGGUAUGGUGGACUCUCAUGGAAAAACUUUUGGGUUUAUGGAAGUGGAUGCACAAGUAGUAUUCCUCUUAGUAUAAGUGAAGGCUAGCAAAAGACAGGGAAGCGACCAACUAGAGAGCGACAACAGUCAUCAAGAUGCAAUGAGUUUGACUAACAUUGAAUGCAAGCAUGAACAGGAUCUAAAUCACCAUGAACAUGAACAUCAUCGAGGCUAUGUUGAUUUUGUUUCAACUACAUGCAUGAACAUGCGCCAAGUCAAGCCACUUGAAUCAUUCAAAGGAGAAUACCAUCCUAUCAUACUACAUCAUAGUCAUCUCAAAAUCUAUGUUGGCAUUCAAGACAAACCAUUAUAAACUCUCAGCUAACUAAGCAUGGCAUCAGAAACUAUGAUCUCUAAGUUGUCAUUGCAAACAUGGUUCUCUCACAACAAAGCUGAAUCUGGAUCGACAAGCUAGUCAUAUUUACAAAAACAAAAUAGAUAGAGUUCAUACCAGCUUUUCAGUCUCAGUCACUUCAUCAUAUAUCAUCAUUAUUGCCUUUAACUUGCACGAUCGAACGAUGUGAACAAUAAUAAGAGUGCUCGUGCAUUGGACUAAGCUGAAUCUGCAGGCAAACACAAAGGAGAAGACAAAGUAAUAUGGCUCUUUGAAAGCUAAACAGGUAUGCAUGCAAGAACCACUAAACAUUGUAACCAAUAUCUUCUACCUUGACCCAAAGAAAAAGAAAACUAUUUACAUGGGAAAGCUCCCAAGAAGCAAAAGAAGAAAGGAAAAUCUUUUUGCAUUUUCUCAAAAGGACACAAAACAAGAAAACGAAAAUAAACUAGCAUAGAUAUUACAGUGGCAAAGUGUAAACACCGACUAUCAAAGUGAAAGCAUAAGCAUGAAUGUAAAGUCGGUGAGAAAUCGUACUGCCCCAAGCUUAGGCUUUUGGCCUAGCUUGGUCUACUCCCAUGGAUGGUCCUGGCGAAACCCAAAAUCAUAACGGUGUUAUACGGGAGUGCUGCAGCCACUGCCUGAAUAGCUACCUCACGAAGUCGAGCAGCCGUCGCCUCCCUCUCAUACUCCUCUGCCUCUCCUAUGGUUAUGUAGUAUCAUCGUUUUACCUGAAAGUCAAAGAAAGCAGGAGCAGGAAGGGUAAUAUGGAAAACACGAUGCCGGUUAAAUAUCAAGCAGUAUAGGAGGGAUCCAUGAUCUCUCUCAAGGAACUGGUAGCGUGUUAGAGCGACACGAUCAAGGUAGGCUGUACGGAGAGGAGGGUCUUCUGAACGGAUGGAUACUCCAAGAAAAUUUGCUAAGCGUGUAGCAUAAACUCCACCAAAGAAACCCCCCUCACUGGCAUUAUUAUUCAGCCUCCUUGCUAUUAUAGCUCCCAUAUUGAAGCUCCUGUCACCUGUAACUGCGCUCUUAAGGAUACUAAGGUCGGAAGCGCAUAGGUGACAAUGUGCACCCUUGCCGUUAAUGCACCUACCUAUGAAGAGGGCAAAGUAGUGCAAGGCAGGGAAAUGGAUGCUUCCUAUGGUGGCUUGCGUGAUAUCUCUGGUUUCUCCAACAGUUAUACUAGAGACAGAGUCUCUGACCAAAGACUUAGAAGGAUCAUUAAUACUACCCCCAUCGGGUAUCUUGCAAAUCCUAUUGAAAUCCUCCAAAUCCAUGGCGUAGGAUUUAUCGUAUAGAUCAAACAGUAUGGAUGAGUCACGGCGAGCUGAAAAUUUAAAUCUAUGCACGAAAGAGGCAGUGAGCAUAGCAUACUGUUCACAUUUAUCUGAGAGGAAUUCUUCUAACCCGGCAUUGCAAACAAAUGUAUCAAACUCAUCCUUGAAACUUGCUUCGAUCAUAAACUCAUCGGAAGGCCAUUGACAUGGUUGUACCAGUGCAUCCCUUAGUUGAAAAAGGUUCGGGCUCCGGAAAAGAAAGACGGGGACCCUUCUUACUUGAGGAACCAGCAUGAAACUUCCUCCUGAACAUAAUUUCCUUUUGCUGAAAUUUUUGAAGUUCAAGAGAAAAGUGAAUGAAGCCAACCACACCUUGUAGCAGCUACUCCUACUAGUGACUAGAGACCGUAUCACACGCUAAAACUACUUGGGACCAGCUAAAAUCAACCUUUCUAGCUCAAGAAUAGGGUCACCAAGGUAGCAAGAAUACGCGAAGGAUAAAGCACAAGAGCAAAAACUAAUUGGACCAAUGGAGGAGUCACUUACCAAGGAGUACUUUCCCCAAAAUGGUUCGGAGAAUGGUGAUUUGAGCAAGGAGAUUGAAAAUCACAGCCAAAUGAGCAAGAACAUGCGUUUGAGCUGCGAAACAAUUUUUUCUGGAGGUGGAAGAAGAGGCUGGGAGCUGGAAUGAAUGGAGGGGGUCCCUGUGGGUCCCACAAGCUUGCUAGCCGCCACCAGGGGGGUGGCGGUGGCAGGGCUUGUGGCCCACUGGUCUGGCCCCCAGGCCAGCUGUCAGGCCCAAUAUUUUUCAAAUAUUCUAGAAAAAAUCAUACUAAAAUUUUAGGACCAUCGGAGAACUUUUAUUUUCGAGGUAUUUUUCUCCGGGACGCUAAAACACAAAACAGGAAAAACUAAACUAAUUCUAUCAUUUUUCUUCUAAGCAACAGAAAAUGAAAGCUCAAAACAGAGGUAUGUGACUCUUUGAUUCAUCCAUUUCAUGGUCAUCGAAAGAAAUCCGUCAAUGGGGUUGAUCAAGUCCUCAUGACAAAACCUUCUCGAAUCGCAAGAGAAAACGAAGAAUUUUGAAGUAGCCACUGAGUUACCUCAAUGGGGAUACGGAUCUCCCCAACAAGCAAAUCAUACUUCAUCUUGACACGAGGAAUAGGGCAUUCAAAGCUCUCAAUAAGAAUCGAUGAAGUCUUUUCGAUAGCAUUGAUGCAAUGUACUUGAUAUCGUUUCUUCGGAAAGUGCACUGUGUGCUCCUUACCGUUGACAUGGAAAGUGACAUUGCCUUUGUUGCAAUCUAUAACAGCCCCUGAAGUGUUUAAAAAGGGUCUUCCGAGCAUGACAGCCAUGGCAUCGUCCUCGGGAAUAUCCAAGGUAACAAAGUCUGUUAAGAUAGUGGUGUUAGCAACCACAACAGGCACAUCCUCGCAAAUGCCGAUAGGGAAAGCAGUUGAUUUAUCGGCCAUUUGCAGAGAAAUUUCAGUGGGUGUCAACUUAUCCAAUUCAAGUCUACGAUAAAGAGAGAGCGGCAUAACACUAACACCGGCUCCAAGGUCACACAAGGCAAUUCUUACGUAGUUUCCUUUAAUGGAGCAAGGUAUAGUGGGCACUCCGGAAUCAUCAAGUUUCUUAGGAGUUCCACCUUUGAAAGUCUAAUUGGAAAGCAUGGUGGAGAUCUCAAGAUCUGGUAUCUUCUGUUUAUUAGUCACGAUAUCUUUCAUGUACUUGGCAUACGGAGACAUCUUGAGCAUAUCAGUUAACUGCAUCUGCAGAAAGAUGGGUCUUAUGAUCUCAAUGAAGCGCUCAAAAUCCUCAUCAUCCUUUUUCUUGGAUGGCUUAGGAGGAAAGGCCAAAAAUCUCUGAACCCAUGGCUCCCUUUCUUUACCAUGCUUCCUAGCAGUGAAGUCAUUCUUAUCGUAUCUCUUAGGUUGUGGGUUAUCAGGAUUAACCAAAGGUUCAAUCUCCCCAUCCUCAUCAUUGCUAGGUUGAGCAUUAUUAUGAACAUCACUGUCCAUAUUGUCACCAGGUUCAUGUUCAUCACCAGAUUAUGUUUCUUCAUGAGACGCAGAAAUAUCAUUAGGUUCUUCAGGUGUGAUAGUAUUUGUUGAACUGGCAUGUAGGUUUCUAUUAUCCUUCUUCUUCUCCUUAGGAUGACUGGGUGUAUCAGCAUUAAUUCCUUGAGAAUUUUGAUCAAUUCUCUUCGGAUGACCUUCAGGAUACAAAGGUUCCUGAGUCAUUUUGCCUCCUCUAGUAAUGACUCUGACAGAGUUGUCAUUUAAUUCAUUGAGCAGGUCAUUCUGAGCUUUAAGUACUUGUUCUACCUGAGUAGUAAUCAUAGAGGCAUGUUUACUCAGAAGCUUCAGAUCACUGACAUUUCUGUCUACAAAAGCACUUAAAUAGCUAAGCAUACGACUACUUUGUUCCAAAUGUGUGCUAACAUAAUCAUUGAAACUCUGUUGUUUGGCAACAAAGUUGUCAAAUUCAUUAAAGCAUAAGCUAGCAGGUUUAUCAAAAGGAAUAUCACUCUCAUCAAACCUACGCAGAGAAUUCACUUCUACUACCCGUAUCGGGUUAUCGAGACCAUGGAUCUCUUCGAUAAGUGGUAGAUUUUUGACAUCUUCAGAUCUAAUGCCUUUCUCUUGCAUAGAUUUCUUGGCUUCUUGCAUAUCUUUGGGACUGAGGAAUAGAAUACCUCUUUUCUUUGGAGUUGGCUUGGGAGGUGAUUCAGGAAUAGCCCAAGCAUUAUCGUUGAUCAAGAUGUUAUUCACUAGUGUCUCAGCUUGUUCUACAGUUCGUUCCCUAAAAACACAACCGACACAGCUAUCUAGGUGGUCUCUAGAGGCAUCGGUAAGUCCGUUAUACAGGAUAUCAAGUAUCCCGUUCUUCUUAAGAGGGUGAUCAGGCAAAGCAUUUUGUAGCUGGACGAGCCUCCCCCAAGCUUGUGGGAGACUCUCUUCUUGGAGUUGAGCAAAGUUGUAUAUUUCUUGCAAGGCAGCUUGCUUCUUUUGGGCAGGGAAAUAUUUCUCACAGAAGUGAUAGACCAUAUCCUGGGACUACUCACACAUCCAGGAGCAAGAGAGGUGAACCAGGCUUUAGCGUCAUCCUUUAGAGAGAAAGGAAGCAACUUAAGGAUAUAGUAGUGGCGGAUCUUCUCCUCAUUAGUGAAAAGGGUGGCUAUAUCGUGUAGUUUGGCAAGAUGGGCUACGAUCGUGUCUGACUCAUCACCAUGAAAAGGAUCAGAUUCGACUAGAGAGAUUAUCUCAGGAUCGACAGAGAAUUUGUAAUCCUUAUCGAUGAUAAAGAUAGGUGAAGUGUCAAACUUCGGGUCGUAUUUCAUCCUAGCUUUCAGAGAUUUUUCCUUCCACUUGAGAAGUAAUUUCUCAGCGUCAUAGGCAUCCUUACACGCAAGCAAAUCCUCAGCUAUCUCUCCCUCCAUAACGUAACCCUCAGGUACGUAAGGAAAUUCAUAUCUAGGAGAGCUAGAUCUAGCAGGAGCAAAAGCAGGUUCUAUCUCAAUAGUAUCGGCAGUUUCGGAAGCAUCACGAGCAUUGGCAGUAACUCUAGCAAUAUGAGCAUCAAGGAAUACCCCUAGUGGCAUAUCAGGCAAAGUAGCACCUCUAGCAGUAUCAAGCAUAGCAUCAUCAGGCAAAAUAGCGUCUCUAGCAUCAUCAGGCAAAGCAGUAUCAAGCAUAGCAUCUCUAGCAGUAUCAGGCAAAGCAGUAUCAGGCAUAGUAUCAAGCAUAGCAUCUCUAGCAGUAGCAUCAUAAGCAUCAUCAAGCACAGGCGACAUAUCAAUAUUUCUAGCAGGAGGUGAUGUCGCAAACUUACUCUUAACUGAAGGUGAAUCAAGUGCAUAGCUAGAUGGCAAUUCCUUACGUCCCCUCAUAGUUCAGGGCAAGACUUUGGUUUUCGGAUCCUUCAGAUUCUUCAUAGUGAUCAGCAGAUAUAAAUCCCAAGUAACUCAGAGAAUAUAGCAAUACCUCCCCGGCAACGGUGCCAGAAAAAUGCUGAUUCCGUGACAGCAGACCUUCCCCGGCAACGGCGCCAGAAAAAUGUUGAUUCCGUGACAGCAGUAGCAAGUAGCAACAGUAGCAAGCGACAAUAGUAGCAACAGUAGCAGCAGAGAAAGACAAGUAACAGCAGCAGAGCAAGACAAGUAACAGCAGCAGAGCAAGACAAGUAAUAGCAGCAGAGCAAGACAAGUAACAGCAGCAGUAGGACAAACUCGUAGGCAAUGGGUCGGUGAUUUGUUUGGAUGAUAUUCAUCAUGCAAGAGUUAUAACACGGAGAGAUAUGUGGCUAGCUCACGUUCGUCAAUGUGAUGUAGGCAUGCAUUCCGUGUGUCGUCAUACGUGUUUAGGGAAAAGAACUUGCAUGACAUCUAUUGUCCAUCCCUCCCGUGGCAGCGGGGUCCAAAAGGAAAUCACGGGAUAUUAAGGUUCUCCUUUUAGUAAAGAAUCGGACCAACGCAUUAGCACUUGGUGAACACAUGAACUCCUCAAACUAUGGUCAUCACCGGGAGUGGUUCCAGUUAUUGUCACUCCAGGGUUGCCGGAUCAUAACACAUAGUAGGUAACUACAACUUGCAAGAUCGGAUCUAAAACACACAUAUAUUGGUGACAACAUAAUAAUUUCAGAUCUGAAAUCAUGGCACUCGGUCCCUAGUGACAAGCAUUAAUCAUGGCAAAGUAGUAGCAACAUCAAUCUGAGAACAUAGUGGAUACUAGGGAUCAAUCCUCGUCAAAACUAACUCGAUUACAUGAUAGAUCACAUCCUACUCAUCACCGCCCAGCGAGCCUACGAAUAGAUUACUCACGAACGACGAAGAGCUUCAUGGAAUUGGAGAGGGAAGAAGGUAGAUGAUGACAAUGACAACAAUUUCCCCUCUCCGGAGCCCAAAACGGACUCCAGAUCUACCCUCGAGAUGAAGAACAGGUUGUGGCGGCGCCUCCGUAUCGCAAACGCGACGAAAUCUUCUCUCUUGAUUUUUCUUGGACGAAAGUGAACUUAUUGAGCUGAGAUUGGGGGCGGCACAGCCACGUGGGCCCCACAAGCUUGCCAUCCGCCACCAAGGGGGUGGCGGUGGCAGGGCUUGUGGCCCACUGGCCCACCCCCUCAGGUGUAUGUUUGCGCAGGUAUUUUUCAUAUAUUUCCAAAAAUAUUCCCCGUAAAUUUUCAGGACGUUCUGAGAACUUUGAUUUAUCCACAAAAAUAACACCAAGGCAAUUCUGCUGAAAACAGCGUCAGUCCAGGUUAGUUCCAUUCAAAUCAUGCAAAUUAGAGUCCAAAACAAGGGCAAAAGAGUUUGGAAAAGUAGAUACAAUGGAGACGUACCAGUUCACACUUCAUUCUUGGUGCUUUCCGUAAAACGCUUGCUAAGUACGAUGUCAACCAUAGAAAUGUGUCUCCCUAUGACCCUCAGUCCUGUGGUCAAGUAGAGCUAAGCAAUAGAGAGAUUAAACUGAUUCUGUAAAAGAGUGUCAACAGGUCUAGAAAGAAUUGGUCUAAGAAGCUCGAUGAUGCACUGCGGGCUUAUAGAACUGCCUAUAAGAAUCCCAUGGGCAUGUCUCCGUACAAAAUGGUGUAUGGGAAAGCAUGUCACUUACCUCUUGAGUUAGAGCAUAAAGCUUAUUGGGCAAUCAAAGAGCUCAACUUUGAUUUCAAACUUGCCGGUGAGAAGAGGUUAUUUGACAUUACCUCACUUGAUGAGUGGAGAAUUCAGGCAUAUGAGAAUGCCAAGCUGUUCAAAGAGAAGGUUAAUAGGUGGCAUGAUAAGAGGAUACAAAAGUGUGAGUUCAAUAUAGGUGAUUACGUCUUGCUAUAUAACUCUCGUUUAAGAUUCUUUGCAGGCAAGCUUCUCUGUAAAUGGGAAGGUCCCUAUGUUGUUGAGGAAGUAUAUCGUUCAGGUCCUAUCAAGAUCAACAACACGGAAGGUAAUUGUCCGAGAGUUGUAAAUGGGCAAAGAAUCAAGCAUUAUAUCUGAGGUACUCCCAUAAAUGCUGAAAGCAAUAUUAUCAAUACCAUAACUCCGGAAGAAUACCUAAGGGACAUUUAUCAGCCUAUUUCAGACUCCGAAAACGAAGAGGUAUGUGAUUCGGUAAGAAAACAGAGUCCAAAACUUUUCCAGUAGGAAAUUUUCUCCGUUUUGGAAUAUUUGAUAAAAUACAAAAAUUGGAAGUAGUCCCGAAAGUGCGCGAGGAGGCGACAAGCCUGCACGGCGUGACCCCACCCCCUGGCUGCGCCAUGAGAGCUUGUGGCCACCUCGUGCGUCUCCCGGACUCCGUUUUCGUGCGGGGUACUCCUUCUGGUCUGGAAAAAAUCAUUAUAUAUAAUCCCGUUUGGUCUGACCCCUGCAUCACGCAGAUUUCUUCUGUUUUUCGUUUCGAGCCUGUUUCUGUGCAGAUCUAGAUCGCUAUGACUUCUCCAACAACUCCGAAUGACAAGAUAUUCAAGAAGGUCAUCAAUACCUACCUCACGGGAGUGCUGCAACACCCUCAAUCUAUCGAGAUGCGUGAGGGGAUGUUGCACAUCCGUGAUGUGGAGCGGCGCAAGAAGAUCGGAAGCAUGGAGACGAGGCUCGAAGGAAUGGAGCAACAAGUCUUCAAGUGCCAAGGGAUGGUGGAGCGUGGACUCAACGCCAACCACAUGAUCAUCACGGAGUUCACCAGCAAGCACAUGAUUGAUGCCAAUGACAUUGGGAAGCACUUCUCCAGGCUCUAUGACAGGAUUGAUCAAAUCCAUGGCCAGAUCUAUGACCUGCAGAACCAAAACUGUGAGUAUGAGUAUAGAUUUAAAUCAAUACGGUUGGCUGCAGAUUUGAGGAUUUCGGAGACUCGUUCAUCUUUCCCUGAUGGAGCACCUAUGCCUUUGAAGACGGAGGAUCAAGCCCAUGUUGCAAAAACUCCACCAUCACCACCAAAGGAAGACAACUAAACAUGGGUAUGGGCAAUCCCCUUGGCUUGUGCCAAGCUUGGGGGAGUUGCCCCGGUAUCGUAUCUCCAUCACAUCUUUUGCCUUUACCUUUUGUUUUAGUUUUCCUUUUCAGUUUUCUCAUUUUCUAGUAGUUUAAAUGUCUUAGUGUUUUAGUCUUGAGUUUUGCUUUGUGUCACCUCCGAUGUAUUCUUGCUCGUGAGCCAUAUAAUAAAGAAUGUCUUAGUUGAAGGGCUUUGCCUCUUGCCAUGAUCAAAAGAGUGACAGUAGAACAAAAGCAUGAAAGAUCAUGUAAUGAUCUUAUGGUAAGUGAUGGCUUCACAUAUAAAAAGAAUAAGGAUUGAAACUUGUUGAGGGUAGGCAAACGUAGACCUUGGUCAUUGUUGCAAUUAAUAGGAUGUGAUAAGAAGGAGAGGUUCACAUAUAAAUAUAUCAUCUCUGACACCAUCUACGAUUGUGAACGCUCACUAAACUAUUACAUGCCUAGAAGUAGAUGUUGGACAAGGAAGACAACGUAAUGAAUUGUGUUUGCUUGGCUCCGAACAAUAUUAUAUGAUUAGAGAUCUCUUAGCAUGUGAAUAUUGCUUCCACCUCAUAUUAGCCAAACCUCCCGCACUAAGUAGAGAUACUACUUGUGCGUCCUUAAACCUUCAACCUCGGUUUUGCCAUGAGUGUCCACCAUACCUACCUAUGGAUUGAAUAAGAUCCCUCAAGUAAGUUUUCAUCGGUGCAAGCAAUAAAAAUUGCUAUCUAAUAUGUAUGAUCUAUUAGUGUGUGGAAAAUAAGCUUUUAUACGAACCUGUGAUGAGGAAGACAUAAAGGCGACAGACUGCAUAAUAAAGUUCUUUAUCACAGGGGGCAAUAUAAAGUGACAUUCCUCCGCACUAAGAGGACACGCAUCCAAACCUCAAAAGCGCAUGACAACCUCUGCGAAGGGCCUAUCUUGUACCUUUACCUUUUGCCCUUGAAAGAGUCAUGGUGAUCAUCACCAAUUCCUUAUUACGCCUUUAUCUUGGCUACCGUCACAUGCUUGGGAAAGAUCUAUAUUCAUAUGUCAACUUGGAGGUAAGUAUUCAUGAAUUAUUAUUGUUGACAUUACCCUUGAGUUAAGCAGUUGGGAGGCAAAACUAUAAGCUCCUAUCUUUCUCUGUGACCAGCUGAAACUUUGAUCUCAGGAGUACCGCGUGAGUUGUAGCAAUUGUAGAGAAUGAAAGAAUGAUUGAGUAUGUGGAUUUGCUUUACAAGCUCUUAUUUGACUCNNNNNNNNNNNNNNNNNNNNNNNNNNNNNNNNNNNNNNNNNNNNNNNNNNNNNNNNNNNNNNNNNNNNNNNNNNNNNNNNNNNNNNNNNNNNNNNNNNNNGGGGGGGAUCCAAUAGAUUAGGGAGAAAUUACUAUGCUUGCUUGCUUGAUGCAACCUGGCGGACGAGCGGAUCCAGUAGCUCGGAGAUGCAGGAAGAGCAGAAGCAAUGGAGGAAAGGGCCAGAGCGUAGGGGCGGAGAGGCGGNNNNNNNNNNNNNNNNNNNNNNNNNNNNNNNNNNNNNNNNNNNNNNNNNNNNNNNNNNNNNNNNNNNNNNNNNNNNNNNNNNNNNNNNNNNNNNNNNNNNNNNNNNNNNNNNNNNNNNNNNNNNNNNNNNNNNNNNNNNNNNNNNNNGGUGGGAUAAUGGGUGCUGGUGGAGUGGUGGCACCUCUUACCAGACUCCCAGGCGAGGCGGUUCGGAGCAAGCUGCAAACCUAGCGGACAAAAUUUUCCCUCCCACGGGUUGCGGGCUGGGCGGCUGGCUCACUUAUCCCCUCCCAAUCCUAAAAAUGAACAACAAAAAAUGAGUCAAACGACUCAAGGUGGUGCAGUAGUCCAGACUAGUCCUUCAACUGCUCAACUCGGCAAACUAGUCUGCACGAGAUUUCUAGUCGAUACCCAGAAAUCUGACUCAUAGACUAGUAGUGACUAGUCGCUCGACUUGUAAUCAAUGCUUUGGCCAAAUAACCAGCAAGGCUACCUUCCCAGUCACAUUGUCAUGUUUCUUAGCCACACCAAGCAGUACAAGGUGUUCUUCUACUGAAACACAUAGGCAUUCAUGACAUAACUCAUUGUUCUGAUCCUGUUUCUGGUCACGGAGCUGUGCUAGAAUGCAAUUGGCUCCAUUCACUGCAGUCUGCAGUUCACGAUGUUGCUUGACUUGCUAGGACUUAUGGGGGCCUAUGCUGCUGGGAGAUGCAGGGAGGUCAGAAUGUUUACAAUUGGGUAUUACUUGUUGGCAUUUCACAUAUGUCGCACUUGAUGUAGUGUUCAUCCAGCAUCUAGCGCCUGGAUGGCUUCGAGAAAUAUUCAGGGAUAUCCAGAGAUUCUGGGAGGAUUCUACGUAGCACCAAUUUUCAGCAGAAGGCACAACAUAAGAGAUGAUUCAGAUGCUCCUCUCCAUGAUAAAGAGGAGGAACUGGAGCGUAACCACAGUUUCUUGCUGGUUGCUGCUACAUUGGCAACAGCAGUGACAUAUAUUGCAGGGUUAUGUCCACCAGGUGGCUUCUGGCCUGACAACAAGGGUAGCCACAUUGCCGGUGACCCGGUACUUCAAGAUUAAGUUCCUCUUUACCCUCAUGUUUAAGCCCUAGAUGUGUCAUACAGUAUUAAAGCCAUUGAUCAUGUUUUAGUCGUUUAUUGUUUCGGUUAAGGCUAUAAUUGCUAAGGGUCAGUGCUGAUAAGAUAAUCAUGAUACUUAAUCUAUACGGUUAUAAUUGAAUAUUGAAGGAAAUCCACAAAAUUAUUUCCCCAAUCCGAAACACUAACUCUGGAUGGCAAUUCCCCAAUUUGCGAAUCCAAAUCCACAAAUUUUGAAGCCCAAAACGAUGAAAUUAAAAUGAAGGGGAAGGGACUUGGGGCUUACCUACUGACGCUACUACGACGCCGUCUCUCUUGAUGGCCGGCAGGAAGAAAUGGCUGGCGGCGGCGCCGCCCUAUCGGACGCUGUGUGUCCCCUGGGCCGCACACGUCGUCUUCGACCACAAAACGACAGGUACCGGCGGUCGCCUCCUCACCUCGCUGUCGAGCGCCUCGUGCGCGUCGCCGGCGCGGACAGGCUCCUGAUCUCGCCGUGUGCUCAACACAGCUAGCGCCGUUCGGCGGAGGAGCGCGCGGCCUUGAGGCCAGGCACGCUACUCCGACAAACGGGGCUGCCGCACCGCCAUGGCCGGCGUGCCUCGGGUCGCCGCCGGGACCGCCUCUCUUUUUUUUCUAGGAAACCGCCUCUCCUGUUUUUCUUAGGCUGGCCCCAAGUAACUUCGGUGGUAACUUCAUGUCCAGCUCAGCAAAAUUUCCUACGUGGCAG
rnacentral:lncRNA from 1 species